GAGAACCAUGAUCACGACAAAUUCAAGGGAAAGGAAGAGAACCAGCGCCACCACCAGGACCACCGAGUCCACCACCGGUGCCCACUCCACUGCCUAUGCCGCCUAGGGUUCCGAGACCACCGGUGCCACCCAAGCCACCCAAGCUGCCGAGCCCUCCUGUCCCACCUAGUCCACCUGCACUACCGAUUCCUCCGCCAAGUCCGCUGACUCCACCUAGUCCACCAAAUGGCAGUCCAGAACCACCUAGUCCUGCAACACCACCGACUCCGCCGAAGCCACCGAGCCCGCCAAAGCCGACGAUAUUCUUUUGGUCAUCGAGACCAGCAUCACUAGGCACAGUCCUUGCAGUGGUGUGAACCACUGCUACGGCAAGCACUGCCAUGAUAAACCACUUUGCCAUCUCUCUCUUUUCUCACUUACUAACUCACGCUCUAAUGCUUCUUUUUGAGGGUUUACUCAGUUGCACCUGAAGGGUGUUGCGGGUCUCCUUUUAAAGGCCUAAAGGGAGGUGGGGGACAGUUGCACGUAGUAAAUGAAGUUAAAUGCUGACCAGUCCAUAGCUUUACUCAGUCGAUGGAAUUGAACAGGAUUUGUUGGAACUAUGCUUUGAGCUGCUGAACCUCAGGGCCUCAAAUUGAUCAACAUCUAACAAAUAAAAAUGAAAAUCACUUGCAUAUCAUCAUGGCUUCCAUACAGAUGUUAGGCCAUAUGUAUGGCUGUGAUGGGAUUCAGAAACUUGCUCCUACCAAGAUGUGCAUGACAGAAAACUUAAAAGUACAUGGAUAACGGACCACGAAAAAUGUCUUUCUCUGAUAAUUCUUUCGCGUUUUAUUUUUCACAUCCUGAAAUUUUCAGUUGAUCUCUUGCUAAGAGAAUGUAUGGAAAAAAUGAAUAACAAAUUAGAUAAAAUGAUACCUUAUCUUAACACCACUCUGUCGUGCAUUUCGUCUCUUUGGGCUUACCAUAUGAUAUAGAAAGCGAUGCAACAUAACAUAAACAAUUCUUGGAAUUAUUAUUAUUAUUUAAAAAAAAAAGUUAAAAGAAAUAGUUUUUUUUUUCCUUUUUUUUCUGUUUUUUUUUUAAGAUUAUAUUUAUGCCAUUAUUUUAUUUUAUUCUGAACACGAUUUAACAAUUUUGGGAGAUCAAUCCUCUUGUUUCAGAUUUUAUGAAACCAGUUAUGCAUGAUGUUAUUUAUUUUCAAAAUACAAUUAUAUAAAUAAUUGGAAUGGAGACAAAAUAUUAUUUUUUACAUAUUUUAACUUUAUUUUUUUCCAUUAAAUUUUAUUUCGAGGGUGCAGGUAAAGAAGAUUAUCAAUCCACCAAACUGCUGAUAAUCAUUCAAUGUUAUGUUGGAAUCCAUUCAGCGUCUGGCUUUGUCAUUACAGAUGUGUCAUUGUAAGAUGGAGAAUUAAUUAAGCCUGGUUUGUAUAUUUGAUUAUUUUUAGAUAAAGUCUUGACAAAAAAAAGUGACAAACUUUGAAAAUAUUAUACUCAUGAUGAAAAAUAAAAUAAAAUUAUAGCUACACCCAUUUAAUCAAAUUAAGAUUUUUCAUGUUAAUUUGAAGUCAUGAAAAUUAUUAAAAUUUUUAGAUUAGAUGAGUAAAAGUAGGUUUUACAGCGAUUUUAUAAAGUGUUUUUAGGUUUUUUAAUAUUUGAGAGAUGAAAAUUUUUAAGUAUUAAAAAUUUAAAAAAUAUUUUCUAAAAUCGAUGUAAGUGCUUUAUCCAAAUAAAAAUUAAUUAGGUCUCAUUUUUCUAGUAUGAUGAACAUGACGAGAAUUCGGUGAGAACUGACGGAUAAAGACCAAGGGUUGCUGAAGCUCCACGGGCAAGUACUAGAGAUGAGAGUGAGGUGAUAAGUGGGGUAGGGUGAAUCAAUAACAGCUCCUCAGCUGCCCGUGACAGGACUAGGGCUGAGGAUGCUGACCUUGGUGGAGGAGAAAGUAAAUGCAUUUGUCAGGAGAGUUUGUGGACUCCUCUUAGUUUCACCUGUUCUUAAAAAUUCAUUUAAUGACCUACAACUCUCAUGCACACAUCUUCAUGCUCAUGUACAUGCAUGUGAGAUAUCUAUCCCAUAUGGAUCAUCUUAACUAAGCCUAUUUAGCAACUGUUUUCCACAAUAAAAUAUAUUUAAAAAUAUUAAUAAAAAAAUAAGUUAAAAACAUUUUAAAUUUCAGAUUUUUAAUUUAUAAAACAUCAAAAAAAGUAGUUUUAAAAAAUUGUUCAAAAAAGUUGUUUUCAAAACUGUUUUAAAAAACAAUUACUAUGUACAUUUUUUAUUUUUUAUUUUUAUUUUUAAAGUUAGAAAUAUAGUUGGAAUUUUCAUGUAAGAGACAAGUGCUCUUGGAGAUUUAUAUUAAAAAAUAACAAUUUUUAAAAUAAAUUAUAUAUAUAUAUAUAUAUAUAUAUAUAUAUAUAUUAAGAAUAGAUAUCAACAAAUCCAACAAAAUUGAAAAACAAUGCGGCAUAUAGUACUUCCACAAAUCAAGACUUUUAAAAUGUGGAAAAAGAAAUUUAAAAAAAAAAUACCACCACAAAUACCUCUUCAUAUACUGGUUUACCUUGAGACUCCUAAAUAUAAAUAAUAAUAAGAAAACCAGACCUGAAAAUACAAAACACAAAAAAAUCAGCAUUAACUUCAGGAUUUGACUUUCAUGUGGCUUGGAUAAGUUGGUUUGCAAAAAUGUAAUUCAACUUUUUUAAAGUUAUUACACCCGUUAAGUGAAGCCCAUAAGUGAUUGGUAGUGUGGUAUGUUGGUUUUGAAAAAUAUUAAUGAAAGAAAAAAUAUAUAUAAAAAAAUAUUUUUUUAUAUUUGUUUGUAUUAUAAAAAAUACAAAAAAAGUUAAAUAUAAUUAAAAUGGAUAAGAAAAUGGCCAAGGUGAAGUCAGUGCAUGCAAUUCCGAAGGUGGCAUGUGAAUGAGGUCCCAUGUAUCUGGCACUCGGGACAUCUCUGAACAAACUGGCAACAAUCCGUCUCCAUGGUCAACCAGAAGUAACCAGUCCUCAUGAUCUUACGGGCCAACAUAUGCCCUUCCAUAUGUGGUCCGCAAACUCCCGCAUGAACCUCUCUCAUGACUCGAUCGGCAGAGGCGCGGUCCAAACACAAUAGCAACAUCCCGUCAGCUGAUCGUCUAUAUAGUUCUCGUCACAAAUCACGAAUCGGACGGCUAACUGUCUCAGUGCUCUCCUAUCCUUGGCCGUGGCAACCUCAGGAUACACACCAAGUCUCAUAAAGUGAUAUAUGUCAUGGUACCAGGGCAAACCAUCGUCUAUCUCCGUAUCUUCAAUCAAACAACAAUACGCAGAAGCAGACCUCGAUUCGAUCAACAAUGGGUGAACAGUGACAUCAACAGGAAUGUCAAUCAUGGAAGCUAGAGUAGCUAAGGCAUCAGCAAACUGGUUCUACGCUCUAGGCAGAUGUGUGUAUCUCAAAUCAUCAAAUCUCUCGACCAGUAGCUCCAAAUACGCGUGGUAAGGCCUAAGCUUCACAUCCCUAGUCUUCCACUCGCCCUGAAUCUAUCUCAAUACCAUAUUGGAGUCACCAAACACCUCCAUCUGUCUAAUCCCGAGCUCUAGAGUCGUCUCUAAUCCCAGAAUACAAGCCUCAUACUCAACAAUGUUGUUCGUGGCAAGAUGUCGAUCCGAGAAUGCCAAACAAACAAAUCUAGGAAUGUGAUCACCAGGAGGGGAUAUCAACAAGACGCCUAUCCCGUAUCCAAAGUGGUUGACCGCACCAUCAAAUUACAUGCGCCAACCUAACAGACUAGUCAUAGUAGUGACAUCCUCGUCCGGGAAGUCAUCAUCAAUGGCUCUACCGUCGGAAACUGGUAAGAAUGCUAGGUGAUCUGCGACAAUGCUCCCUCUGAUGGACUUCUGAGUGACAUAAUGGAUGUCGAACUCAGUUAGAAGCACCAACCAUCUCAUGAGGCGACCAACCAGGGCGGGCCUGUCAAACAAAUAUCUCAGAGGGUCUAGACGGGAUAUCAAAUGCACUGAAUACUCGGUCAUGUAAUGUCUCAAUCGUCGAGUGGCCCAAACCAAUGCUAAGCAAUAGCGCUCAAUCAUAACAUAUCUCGUUUUGUAAUUUAGUAUCCUCUUACUCAGAUAAUAAAUGGCUCGAUCUUUGCUCGAAUCAUCGAGCUGAGCCAACAUGCAUCCCAAAGCCACAUCUGAGAUGGAUAGGUAUAGGAGUAAAGGACGGCCUGGUGUAGGAGGCGCCAAGACUGGGGAUGACAACAAGUACUCUCGAAUCCUUUCGAAUGCGCACUGACACUGAUCAUCCCAAACAGUAGGUUGACUCUUCCUCAAGAGUCGGAAAAUGGGCUCACAGAUGUCUGUCAAUCUGGCGAUGAAUCUACUAAUAUACUAAAGUCUACCCAAGAAGCCUCUAACCUCUCUCUCUGUCCUUAGUGCUGGCAUGUCAAGGAUGGCUCUGAUCUUGUCCGAAUCUGCCUCUAUGCCUCUCUCACUGACCAUAUACCCUAAGAGUUUCCCAGAAGUCACUCCGAAAGUGCACUUCUUGGGAUUCAGUCUCAAUCUGAACUGUCGGAUCCUCUCAAAGAACCUCUCCAGAGCUGCUAGGUGAUCUGGUCUCUCUCGGGAUUUCACUAUCAUGUCGUCUACAUAAAACUUGACAUCCCGAUGCAUCAUGUCAUGGAAGAGGGUGGUCGCUGCUCUCUAAUAGGUGGCUCCUGAUUUUUCAAUCUGAAUAGCAUGACCCUAUAGCAAUAAGUACCCCACUCGGUAAUGAAGAACGUCUUCUCCAUGUCCUCUGGAGCCAUCAAGACCUGACUGUAUCCGGAAAAUCCAUCCAUAAAGGACAACAUCAAAUGACCUAUCGUACUGUCAACUAGCAUGUCGAUGUGUGGAAGAGGAAAAUCAUCCUUAGGACUGGUCUUGUUAAGAUCUCGAAAAUCAACACAAACUCUCACCUUGCCGUCCUUUUUGGGAACAAGGAUGACAUUGGCCAGCCACUCUGAGUACUCGACCACUGAUAAGAAUCCUACAUUGAGCUGCUUCUGAAUCUCCUCUUUGACCUGCAAGCUCCAACGAGGAUGCAAUCGUCUCAACUUCUACUUAACCGGUCUGGCAUGGGGCAGAAGUGACAAACGAUGUUGGACGAUAGAUGGAUCAAGGCCUGGCAUGUCCUUAUAAGACCAUGCGAAAACAUCCAAGUAUGCUCCGAGCAAUUGGAUGAGGCUAUCUCUCUUAUCAACAGAUAAAUUUGAUCCAAUCCUCAACUCCCUAGGUUGAUCUACUGUGCCGAAAUCAACAAUCUCCGUGUCUCCUACAGUAGGUGAAACUCUCUCAUCAACGGGAUCCAAAUCGGAAACAGAAGGUGAGUCAUCGUCUGAAUCGUGCUGUGCAAUCUUAUCAUCAAUGUCAAAAAUCUAUGAUGUGGGUGAAGAUGGUGCAGAUAAAUCAAUAACAUGAGAGACAAGCAAAUACUCAAAGAUGCUCAAAUCCAUAGAUGAAAAGUCAGAAACAUAGUCAUUAUGGGAGACAAAUCCCGAUAAAACAUCAAAGGAAAGAGGUGGGUCCACAAAGUCGGAUGCUCUCUCAACUAGGCCAACAGGGCCAUCAAACAAACCAUCAACAACUAUAACAUCCUAGGUGACCUCCGGAGCGGGGGCAACCUGGAUUUCCUCUGCGAUCUCGAGGACGGACACCCCAAAGAGAUCAAAUGGUGAAGCGAGCUCAGGUGGGGCUAUCUCCUCGGUUUAGCUUAAGCUCAUCGCGAGCAUCUCAUCAACAUACUCGUCACGUGGCACGACUCCGUCCACUAUGUCUCCGAUCUCGGCAAAAGUCCCGUGCUCAUCGAUCUCAUCCGGGAAGCAAAACGUCAUAAGACUCGUGUGAUCUGGGGAGGGAGGAGCGAUCAACGCAGAAGUCGAAGGGCCAGGGGCUUCGUCACUCAACUGUAACUGCUGGACGAGGCAAUGAAGUUCAGCCUCUUGGACGGUACUAAGUCCUUCGAUGAUCCCAUCAGAUGCUGCAUGUGGCUCCGAUGCCCUUACAAAGUAAUCAGCUAGGCUCAUGGUGUAUGGGCGAACAGGAUAAUAAAAGGGCGUAUGAGUCAAGCGAGCCCUCACCCUCUCCCUGUGCAAUCUCGCCAUAACGAUAAUCGGCCUUGGUGGGGAUGAAUCCGAGCCCGAAUGGUACGUCGUGAUAAGGGAAAGCCAUGAACUCACUAGGCCCGUGUUGGCGCCACCUUAACCCCAUACCGGGAAGAUAAGGCAUGCUCCGCAUAAUAUCGAGCACCACCGUGCUGGUCGAAGGACAUGGCUACAAAGUCUCGACAGAAAUCCUCCAUCUCCAGGGUUUGCACCUCAUCAAAGGUGAAUCUGGUCAGAAAAAAAUCAUCAUCAACGUGACUAAUCUCAAGUACGGGCUCGAUCGAAAUGAACAUAUCCCCUACAGACUGCACCACGACGACCCGACCACCAUGAAUAAACUUCACCCUCUGAUGAAGGGAAGAAAGAAUGGCCCCAGCUCUAUGGAUCCAUGGUCGGCCCAAAAGCAGGUUAAAGGAUGUAGGAAUCCUCAAAACUUGAAACAUGGUGACAAAAGUGGCUGGACCAAUCAAUAGCUCAAUCUCUAGUGUACCCAUGACCUCCCUCCGAGUGCUAUCAUACGCGCGAAUGGUCUGAGUGGAGGGGCUGAAGUCAGAAGGAGUGUAUCAGAGGGCAAUGGUCGUGGCAAAAGGACAUACGUUCAGGGUUGAGCCAUUAUCCAGAAGGACAGAUGGGACUCGGCGGCCUAAACAGCCAACGGAUAUGUAUAGAGGACGUGUGUGGUCCGAGCCCUCUGGUGGCAAAUCAUCGUCCGAGAAUACGAUGCAUGUGGCUCUACCGGCCAUCAUUAUUUGAAUCAAUCCCUUAGGGGAGGUGGUAGUCUCAACCCGGAUCUGCCUCAAAGCUCGAAUCACACAGUGCCCCAACUCAAACCCAAGUCCAAAGUCUCCAUGGGCAAGCCCAAGGCUCCAUCUUCAGCACCAACUUGGGCCGGGUGCCUCAACUUAAGCCCAAAACUUCAUCUCCUCCAUUGCUUGCCUCUCUGCCUGGAAAUCACCCUCAGAGGGAGCUCCUACCGCCGGUGGCACCAUGGACCACAACUUGUCGAUGUUGACGAUGGGGCAGUAGAGCUUGAUGCGGAGCUUGUGGAAGUGCCUCAUUCCAACCUUCCCGAAGUAGCCAAGGUGGUACUUGUCGAAAAAAGAUGCGGUGGUGAUGCAUACCUCCAGUAUUUCCGCGGCCACCAGGGUGCUUCUGGUGCUUGCCGAUCCGGCCAUGGCCGGCGCUGAUGUGUCCUCUCUUCUUCCUAUUCUUCUUGAACUUGGUUGUCAUCCUUGUACCUUGUACCGCCUAAGGCUUUUGAAUCUCUGGGGUGGUUUGCGGAGAGAAGAGAUAAUGUGAUAGGGAAGAUGAUGGGUGAGUCGGGUAUAAGGAGGUACAAGCAUGAUAGGCACGAGGGGUGCAUGUGAGGGUGUUUGGGUUUGAUGGAGAGGCACGGGUGAUGAAAGAAAACACGGGUUUAGUGGGUAUGGUGGGCUUGAUGAUAGAGAGAGAAAAGAUGAUGGGGAAAGGAAAUGAGGAAACCGGGUAUGAAGACGAGUGGAAUGGAAAAGGAGGCUUGACAGGUUGUAUUAGGAACAAAAGUUGUCGUGUCAUCCCCAAUGGAGCAGGAGGAAUAGAGACUGCUGGGUGUUGAGAGUACCAAGGCUGGGGGCGAGUAGGAGUGGACCAACCAGCAGGAGGCACGACUAAUGCACCACCACCAAGUUGUGAACUCGGGACCUCCACUUUAGCCAAUUUUGAUGGGACGUCUUCACCUUCCUCUCCAUAAUGAGCUGCUAAGAUUUCAUGUGGGAGAGCAUAUUCUCUAUUUUGGAGGUGACAGUCACGAACCCAGUAGAAUAAUUCAACAACUCUUUGGGCAAUGAAAAUGCGGCAAAUCAGGUUCCAAAACUAUGCCCAUGCGAAGACCAAAGGCGAUGUUGGCCAUGACCCUUUCUCCUUGGUGGUACGAAUAGCUUCCGAGAACAGAGAGUGAAUAGCAAGGAAGCAAGCACCAAAAAAAAAAAAAAAAAAAAACAGAGCAUCCAAAUGAACUUAAUAUAACACUUACAUGAGCCUUCUUUUAUAUUAAAGUUAAUAGGUUCCUGUAUAGGUAGGAAAGCCAGGUGGAAACAAGAUCCAAGGAUAUGAUUCAAACACAAAGGAGAGCUAAAAAAAAGGAAUUAAAUCACUCUCAGACAAAAUUUCACAUGGAGAACAAGGAACGAAUACAUUAUCACAUAGUUAUAGUGACCCAAAAAGAUGUGUAUAGCAAACAAAAUGUGGUUUAGAAAACGUACCUAAGGAUGCCCCCUCUCUUUUCCCCUGUUUUUUUUUUAGUUUCUCUGGAUCCCCCAUUUUCCUCUCUACCAGCCAGUUUCUAUCUUCUUGGGCAACCCAUUACCUGCUUCCCUGUUCAUCACAUCAGCAGCAUGGCCUCCUCAACUACCAACCUGACCAUCCAUGCCACAGCGGGUCUCUCCUUGCUGAUCCUCCAGAAAGGGGGUCCUCCCCCUUCUAAAAAAAAAACUUUCCUUGCCUCUUGUCGUCCUAAGGUGCCCUUUUGUUUUAAGUUAUGAAAACAAAUAUCAAUUGAAUAGUCCCAGCAAGCCAUUCUCUCAUGGCUUGAAAAGAGGGGUCUACAGAUAUAUAAUUUUUUUUAUAUAAUUUUUAGUUAUGAAAUUAAUAUUUAUAGCAAGAAAAUCAUAUUUAAAGACAAUAUUUAUGGAUGGAAAAUAGGUUUUUAAAAUUUUUUGCAAUAAAAUUUUAAUUUACACCAAUAAAUCCCAUUUAUCCACAAAAUCAAUUUGCAAUGAAUAGUUCUGUAUUUAUAAAUUAUUUGAUAGAAUUUUGAAAGAGAUGAAAUUAUCAAAUUGACGAUAAAAAUAUUGUUUUAUAGGUGAAAUUGAUUAAACAUGAGAAUGAUGAUGGCUUAUAUAAAACAUUUAUUAAUUGUUUAAAAUAAUUUAAAACUCAAAAAUCGAUAUAAUUAGUACUACAAAGUCGUGAAACUUAAUAAUAUUAGAAAGUUAUAGACCAAAAUUUAUUUUAUGACAUAUUUAGCUUCUUCUUUACAUAUAUCAUAUUUUUACUAAUUUUUUCAUUAGAUAAAUAAAUUUCAAAUCAAGCAAGACCUAUUGAGUUGGAUUCAUGAAUGACUCUAAUAAUUUUUAAAAAUAACUUAAAACUCAAAUAAUGAUCCAAUUAAUAUUAGAAAUUGAUGGAUAAAAAUUGGUUUAAAAUGACUAUUAUUAUUAUUAUUAUUUUACACAGAAUCUGAGAACCCCUUAAAAAGACCAAUGUUUUUUUUUUAUUAUUAUUCAUGGGAUUUAGCUGGAACCACCCGAGAGAUGGAGAGCUUUCUUGGUAGGAUGGGGGGGACCCCUUUUUGAAGGAAGGCAGCUUCAUAGACACAGCCGAAGGUGAUGGCCGGCCAUGCUUGCUGAUGGGGUAAACAGCAGGGCAAGUAGUGGCUUGCCAAGAAAUGAAAGAAAAACGGGGAUUUAGAGGAAAAAGGAAGAGGUUUUUAAAAAAAAGAGGGGAUUUUUUUCAGCUGGCUGGAGGAGACCUUGAAAGCUAUUGGAGGAAAAACACAGGUAUCAUUUCUACAAGCUGUGGAUUCUUUUGUGUUCAGGGUACUUUAUGAUGUCUUAUGGGUAUUAUGAGAUGCUAUUUUUGAUGCUUGAAUGUGCUUUUUUUUUUUUUUUUUGGGAUUCUCACAUAUUUUUAUGGAAUCUAAGCUUGCUUAUACUCACUCGAAGCUUGAUUUCCAACCUGUUCAUGGUCUCUGUUUUGAUGUUUUAUAUGAGAUGUUGGCAUUCACGUAUUGAUUUCUCUUUGGGAACUUAAAAUGGAACAAUAGAUGACAUUGAUGUUUCAGCCAAUGUAGUUGUUAUAAAUUUCUCCAUGCAUGCCACCACAUUUCCUCUCUCUACGUUCCCCAUUAUCCAUUACCCACUUCUCUUUCCAGCUCUCCACUCUUCCCCCCUCACCCCCAUACCCGCGUCAUGCCUAUUCCCAUUAGGACCCCGAAGUCACUCACCUACAUGCUUAGGAAUCGUGCAUGCGUGGAGCCAUGGACGGCGGCAGCAGGCUGCCACCAGCUUGUUGUGGAUGGUGGAGGCCGCACGCGGCGCUGCGUGAUGGUGUGCAGCUCCAGAAGGUGUCGCGGAGUGAAAGAAAUGGUGUGAACGGAGUUGUGGCAGCAAGGGAGCAGUCGGCUGUAGCAGGCCGUGAGGGUGUUCGCAUAAAAAAAAAAAAAGUGGAACGAACGGGAAAGAGAGUGGGAGGUGGCUGCCAAGAAGUUGGCUGGUGAAGAUGAUGAUGCCCAGGUGAAAAUGGUUUUGGGCUUAAGUUUGGGAGCCCAGCCCAAGCUUGUUGAUGGGGGUAGCAUAUUCUCAAGUAAUUGGGCUUGCCCUUGGUGGAAAUGGCUUUGGGCUUAAGUUGAAGCACCCGACCCAAGUUGAUGCUGAGGAUGGAUGCCUUGGGCUUGCCCAUGGCAAGGACUUUGGGCUUAAGUUUGAGAGCCCAGCCCAAGCUUGUUGAUGGGGGGCCUCAUGGCUCCUCAAGCUAGCCACCCUCAUGGCCCAAGCCUAUGUUGAGCUAGCCCAUUUGGUUGCCUCAACUCAAAAAAAAAUCUCUAUACCUCUAAUCUUUCAAAGAAAUCACAUAUCUUAAUUUAAUUUUUCAAUAACUAUUUCAAAUAUCAUUUUCAUCCAUUAGAAUUAUUUAUCCCAUAUUAUCUAGCUAUUUAAAGUCUAAAUCUUUCAAAGGAAUCAUAUGCCUUAAUUUAAUUCUUCAAUAAUUAGUUCAAAUCUCAUUUUCAUCCGUUAAAAUUAUUUAUCUAAUAUACUCAUCUAGUUAUUUAAAGUCUAACCCUUUCAAAAAUCCCAUGUCUUAUUUUAAUUUCUCCAUAAUUCGUUUAAAUCUUAUUUACGUCAAUUAGAAUUAUUAUCACAUGUUUAUCUAGUUAUUUAAAGCAUAAUCCUUCAAAAAUCGUAUGUCUUAGUCUAAUCUUUCAAUAAUCCGUUCAAAUCUCAUUUUCAUCAAUUAUAAUUAUUAUCCUAUAUUAAUCUAUCUAUCUAGUCUAAUCUUUAAAAAACCCCCUGUCUUAAUUUAAUAUUUUAGUAAUUUGUUUAAAUUUUAUUUUCAUCAAUUAGAAUUAUUAUCCCAUAUUCAUCUAUUUAUUUAAAAUCUAAUUCUAAAAAAAUCCCAUGUCUUAAUUUAAUUAUUCAAAUAUUCGUUUAAAUCUUAUGUUCAUCAAUUAGAAUUAUUAUCCUAUAUUCAUCUAUCUAUCUAGUCUAAUCCUUCAAAAAUCCCAUGUUUUAAUUUAAUUCUUUAAAUAUUUGUUUAAAUCUUAUUUUCAUAAAUUGAAUCAUUAUCCCCAUGUUUAUUUAGUUAUUCAAAAGUCUAAACCUUAAAAAAUCCCAUGUUUUAAUUUAAUUCUUUAAAUAUUUGUUUAAAUUUUAUUUUCAUCAAUUAGAAUUAUUAUCCCAUAUUUAUUUAGUUAUUUAAAGUCUAAUCCUUCAAAAAUCCCCUGUCUUAAUUUAAUAUUUCAAAAAUUUGUUUAAAUCUUAUUUUCAUCAAUUAGAAUUAUUAUCCCAUAUUCAUCUAUUUAUUUAAAAUCUAAUUCUUCAAAAAUCUCAUGUCUUAAUUGAAUUUUUCAAUCCUAGAAAUUCUACAAUUCGUUUAAAUUUUAUCCUCAUCAAUUAGAAUCAUUAUCCCAUAUCUAUUUAAAGUCCAAUCUUUCGAAAACCCCAUGUCCUAAUUUAAUUUUCAAUCCCAGAAAUUCCAUUAUUCACCUAAAUGUUAUUCUCAGUAAUUAGAAUUCUUAUCCCUUAUCUAUUUAUUUAUUUAAGGUCCAACUCUUCAAAAAUUCAACGUCCUAAUUUAAUUUUUAAUCUUAAAAAUCCCACUACUCACUUUCUAUUCGUUUAAAAUAUUGUUUCCGUUAAGUAGCAUUAUUAUUCCAUACUAUCUAUUUAAUUUAAUCGUUAAAGUUUAAUUCAUCAGAACCCGACUUCCAAAUCUAAUUUCCAACCUCAAAAGCUCCACCGUCCAAAUAUCGCCGUUCAAUGAUUAUUCUUGUUAUUAAUGUUAUCCCAUCUACUUACUUAUUCCGUUAUUCAUAUACCAAAGAUCUCAUCUCUAAAUAAAUUCUUAAGUUCUCAAACUCUAAGUUCACAUCUUCAAAUCUCUAAAAUUCCAUCUUUCGCAGUUAUUUACCUAAUCUUUAUUAUUUCACCAUCGUUAUUAUUCCAUUCCUUUACUUAUUCACUCAUCCACUUAUCCCCUCAUUUAAAAUCCCGAACUCUCAAAUCAUUUUCAAGUUUCCAAUCUCGUUCAAAUUUAAUUUCUAAAAAUUCUCAUUCUCGCAUUUAAUUUCUGAAAGUCCGAUCUUCAAAUAAACUGUAAAAUUCCAAAUUUUAAGUAACCUUUGAGACUCCAAUUUUUCAAAUGAAUUUCAAAAAUCCGAUUUCCUCUCCAAUUGUUUUUAAUUCCAUUUUUCGAACAAUCCUCUGUUUCUCUUGAUUUCAAUGAGCAUGAAUGAAUUUUUCAUAAUUCCGGAAUAAUAGAAUCUAUGAUAUUAAUUCAUGCAAAAUAAACGGGCUGUGGUGGGGGCCUUACAUGGGUGACUUUAUGAUUGAUUGAUUGAUUGUUUGCUUUGAUUAUCAUACAUGAUUGAUUUACCCUACUCUUUGACAUGCAUGCGAUUAUUCCUAAAUGGUGCAUUGACCCUCUCUAUUGAUAGCGCAUGGUGGCUCGUUGCCCAGGUAUGUACCCAUUUUCCCUCUAAUCGUUGUUUAUGCAUGUCUCGAUUCUUAUGUGUGCAUGAUCAUUAAGGAUAUUCAUUGAUUUAUUCAUCAAUUUCCAUGUCAGCUUCAUUUUAUUAGUAGAGACCCGACUUUAAGGACUUAGAGGGGUGUUAUGGUCUUUACCGUACCUUCCCGAUAAGUAACCUGACCCCCGAGCCCGAUCCAGUUUUUCGUAGAUCACCUUUCCCAAAAUAAGGAGUCGCACUUAGGGUUUUCUUUCUUAUUUUUUUUACCCUUUUAAAAAUAAAACAAAAAUAAGUUGCGACACCAAGUCAUUUUCUUAAUCAAUAAAAAUCAUUUUUCAAAUUAAAAUCGAGCUCACCAUCAAGUGGAAAACGCAUGAGCCGAAAUGCAGGGUCCAUAGAAUCAUUAUUUUUUGAUUUUAUUUUAUUAGACAAAUAAACUACAAAUUAAACAAGACUUAUUACAUUAGACUCAUCAAUGAGUCUAGUAGUUUUUAAAAAUAACUUAAAACUCACAUAGUGAUCCAAUCAAUAUCAGAAAUUGAUGUACAAAAAUUGGUGUAGAACGACUCUUAUUUCUCUUCUACAUAGAAUUAUUAUUUUUCGAUUUUUUUUGUUUGCUAGGCAAAUAAACUCUAAUUUAAACAAAACUUAUUGCAUUGGAUUCAUCAACGAGUCUAUUUUUUUUUUUUAAAUAAUUUAAAACUCAAAUAAUAAACCCAUUAAUAUAAAAGUUUAUGGAUAAAAAUUGGUUUACAAUUACUAUUAUUUCUUUUCUACAAAUAAUUAUAUUUUUAUAAUUUCUCUUAAUAGAAAAAUGAACUUCAAAUCAAGUGAUGCUUUAUAUUAAAUUUAUUAUUGGGUUUAACAAUUUUUAAAAAUAAUUUGGAACUCAACAAAUAGAUCUAAUCACUUAAAAAAACUAAUAAAUUAAAAUUGAUAUAUUAUGAGUCUUGACUUUACUAUUUCUCUAUACACACAACUCUCUCUCUCUCUCUCUCUCUCUCUCUCUCUCUAUAUAUAUAUAUAUAUAUAUAUAUAUAUAUAUAUAUUAAUUUUCUCACUAUGCAAAUAAAUUAUAAAUUAAGUAAGACAUAAUUAAUAAUUUAAAUUCUUUAAUGAAUUUUUAUUUUUAAAUAAUUUGGUUAUCUAAUUUUUAAGAAUAAUUUGGAAUUCAAAAAGUCAAUCUAGUUAAUUUCAAAUUAAAUCAAAAUAUUUUAGAAUAUUAUGUUCAUAAUUGAAUACUAAAUAUGUGCAUCUAAUAAAAAAACUUGGCUCAUUUAUAUGUUAAAAAAUUAAACUUUAUUUGUUAUUCAUUUUAAAUGAAAUAUUAUUAAUAAUUAUUAUUUUAAAAUUAUUGUUAUUCGCUUUUAACAAAAAAUUUACGAAGUUGUUAAUAUCCUUAUGUUUUUAAACAUAUACUAUAAUAUUACUAUUCAUGUUUUACUAAAAACUAUAUAUUUGUUAAUUUAUUUAUAAUUACAAAACUAUUUUCAGUUUUAAUAAGAUCUAGAAUAAAAUUUCACUAAUUUUAUAUAAAUUAAAUUUACAAUAUUUUUACCAUAUUAAAAUAGAAAAAAUAUUUUUAAAAACAACUUAUCCAAAUAAAGUUUUUGUUAUUUAUUUUUAAGAAUUGUUUUUAAAAACAACUUGCUAAAUAUCCUUAUUUUUAUAAAAUACUAAAAAACUGUUUUUGGUUCUUCAACUUAGAAACAAGUCUUUGAAAAUAUCCCUAAAUAUGCAUAUCCAGAACUUACAUGAGGCCUUUUCAUCAAGGAUAUCAAGGCCAUUUUGCUUUAUAUAUACUUGUUUUUCUAUUAGGUUGCCAAGAAAAAUUUUGGAAGUGUACUAGUCUUUUCUUUUUUCCUUUUUCUUUUUACAUAUUUAUGGAAGUGGUUUUGUGUAACACCCCUACCUAGAAUCAAGGAUAUUUAUGUAAUACGCCAAUUAAAUAAAAAAUUAAGAGAAGAUAAGUAAGAUAUUUUUGGUUCCUAUAACUAGUUACUAUCUUUAUCUUGUUAUGAUUUUCUCCCUUCCAAUUCUUCAUCCUUGUUAUUAGGAAUGAUAUAAAAAAAUAUAAAGAGAAUAGAGUUUUUAUGAUUAAUCUUUCAAGGAAAGCAUCUAACCUAUAAAGUUAAUAUUUCGGUCCCAUUUUCGUGGUUGUGUAAAAUAAAUAACCUUGAAUCUUUUAGGUAUUCUCUUGAAAGAUUUGAAUUUAGGAUUAGUUUAUUUAAGAAAAAAAUGAAUAUAGAUAGGUUGAUUUAUCCAUGAAGAUAGGAAAAUUGUAUAGAUCCAAAUCAAUUUAAAAAAUAAAAUAAAAAUCUUUUGCAACAUUAGAAGAAAAAAGUACAAACUUAGAUGGCCUAUUGGUUUAUUGUUACAUGUUUGAAAAAAAGAAAAAUAAAAAGAAAAAUGAGAUAUUUUUAUGGGUUACAACUUUUAUGUUGUAAGUGUUAGGAUAAAGCCCUUGAAAACAUGACAUGAUAUAAUAAAUUUGGAAUUUAUUAUUUAUUUAAUUAUAUUUUAGUUUUACUUUUAUAUUUCCUUGUUUUAAUGCAUUCUAUUUUAUGAGUAUUUUAACCUGUAUUUAUUACAUUUUACAUGACUUGAGUGCAUUAGGAGUUUCAUGGAAGAUCUAAUUCAUAGGUUUUUUACAAGCAAAUGAUUUGUUUACAACCAAAUUGAUUCCACGUGAUGAAAAUGAAGACUGAAGUCGCAAGAAGUAUAAUAAACUCAGAGUCUUUCACUUGAUCACUCGAACCUUGAUCUUGACACACUUCCGAUGGGGAUGGAAGAGAGGGUGGAGACUAUGACUUUCUCUCUCUCUCUCUCUCUCUCUCUCUCUCUCUAGGUGGAUGAAAACUCUCUAGAAAAAACUAUGGAAACCCUAACCUCUAAGGGGGUAUUUACAGGGUUUCCCAUUGGGCUUUAAUAACUUGAACCCACUAAGGCUUAAGUCACUUAACAUAGCUUAAAAUGGGUCAUAAUUGAUUAAUUAACCCAAUAGACUCUACAAAUUAAUCAAUUAGCCCAAUCUAGAGACCUUGUUCACUUACCCUUGUACAACCUUGCAUAAUUACCAAAAUGCCCUUAUGCACAAAAGUGAACUUAAGUCAAUCCAACCCUCAUAACCCAUGCUAACAAAAUAUAUAAGCUCAAAACAGGAACCACUAGGACCUAUAGGAGUAGUAGCUCCCUUAAAAUCCAAUUCUAAAGUUGAUUCAACAACCUACUACAAAGUAUUAAUUGAACUCCAAUAUCCCAUGUAAAUAACAAUGAGACAUUAUGUGCUCGAGUUCGUGAGUUGCUAUCCAUUGUGUCCAAUCUUUCCAUUAAUUGAUAUUCGUAGUCUAAUAAGGUGAAAACUAUCAACCUUUCAAGAUUACCUCUACUAUCUUUUAGUUAUAAACCCUCCUAUUGUGUAUUUAACUAACAUAUCAUACCUUUCCAAGAGCAUGAUGUCAAGUUCCACUUAAGAACUACUAUGACCAUGGUUUACAUGAAUGCACUUUUUUAGGAUCAACCUAUUGGGAUUGAGCCCUUAAAAGUAAGACAUGAUGUAACAAAGUUAGACUUAACUAUCAUUUUUCUAUCCUUUUGGUGUAUUGACAUUGAUUCGAGCAUUCAACCCAUGUCUUUUACAUUGUUCAUGACUUAAGUGCAUUAGGAGUUGCACAGAAGAUACAAGUCAUGGGUUCCUUGUAAGUAGAUAAGUUGUCCACAAUUGGUUCAUAGAUUUAGGCAAUCCAUUAGAGACUGUAGUGCACCAUCUCCUAAUUGGAGGGAUGACUUGUCUUGGUCAUCAUGAUGGGUUUCCCACAGUGAAUGUACUAGUAUAUGUGAUGCACACUAGAUAGGACCUAUAGUGAAUCAUGACGCAAGACUAUCAAUUUUCAUGAUUCACUAAACUACUAUACUGCAUGGACUCUCAUCAUUGAGAGGAUAUUGAGCCUAUGCCAAAAUCAAUAGGAGGCUUUGACCUAUGGGUGAGACCCUAAAGUGGUCAUAUAUCCCUAUGGAUUGGGUCACUAUUAAUGGAGGCGGAUGGCCAUAGGUAUUCUUAAUAAAGGCACCAUAAUAUCUCAUGAGAUUGAGACAAUGUAUCAUCUUGGCUAAUCCAAAGGACAUGUGAUCAUGAAAUAUGUGGCCACAGUAAUUCCUUUAGUGGAAUUUGACUUAUGCUCAUUGGAGUUAGAGUAUGUCAUUUGAUCACAUAAUAAGUGAGAUCUAUAAAUCAAGGAUUUGAGAGUUAAUCUUGAUAAGUGAUAGCACUACCUUGUUAGAUUACGAACACCAGUUCAUAGGGAGUCUAUAUAUAGUGGAUAGUAGGUCACAAACUUGAGCACUUAGUGUCUCGUUGUAAUAUACAUAAGAUAUUGGAAUGUAGUUAACUCUCUGUAGUGGGAUGUUGAUUCAAUUUUAGAAUUUGAUUAUGAGAGAGCUAGUACUCUUAUGGGUCCUAAUGGUCCCUGUUUUGAGUUCAUAUUCUUUGUUGGCAUGGUUUAUAAGGGUUGGAUGGGUUUUUAGUUCACUUUUGUGCAUAAGGGUGUUUUGGUAAUUAUGCAAGGUUGCACAGGGAUAAGUGAGUUGUAUCUCUGGACUGGGUUAAUUGAUUAAUUAGGCCUUAUAUGGUUAAUUAACCAAUUAAAAAUCUUUUUAGGCUAGAUUAAGUGACCCAAGCCCAUGGUGGACUUAAGUCACUUAAGCCUAGUAAGAAGUCUAUAAAUUCCCCUUUAAGGGUUAGGGUUUCUAAGUCUUGCUAUUCUCCCCUUCAAUAUAAAGUGAACCUCUACCCUUGAGAUCUCCACCAUCUUAGUGCCUAGACACCAAAAAAAGUUAUCUGGCAGAAGAUCAUGGUGUUUACGAGAUCCAUUACAACUUUAGAGUUAUCUUCACCGUAAGAAAUUGAUAUGGGAACAUUCAGAUCUAGGUAUGAACAUUUUUUUUUUUAGUUCUAUGUUUUUUAUGAUAUCAAUAUUGGUUUUUGAAUAACUAUUUAUUCGUUGCGAUAGAUUUAGAGAGCCUAGGAUAGAUUUUCAUGCACACAUAAGCCAAGGGAACCACCCAUAAGCCAAAAGGCUUCCUUUGUUGCUAUGAAAAUAACAAAAGACCACUUAGAGUGUACACAUACCCAGAGGUAGACUUGCGAGAGUCUUUAUCAGAUUAAAGUCCGAUUUCUCGGUACAAAAGGAGUACCAACUCAUCGUAAAGACUCAAAAACAUAUAAUCCUUCGUUCUCCAAAGAUACUAGAGUGUAUGUUUGACAUCCACCCAAAGCUCUAAUUAGGAAAUUGACUAAUAUUCACUCAUUAUUCCUACAAUAAAGAAAAUAUUUAGUUUAGCACAUAGCAUCACAUACUUAAGGUUAUCCAUUACAAAGGCAUUGGAUACCACCUUAAUGCGAUCUUUCUCCUUAGAUGUCCAAUGACAUUAUUCCUAAGAAAGACAACUCCAAAUCCAAAGAGUAACAAACUCUUCUUGGAGUUUUGCAUCAUAUGCUUGACCAAAUGUUUAUCUAUGUAGGUGACAUGAUGCAAUUUUCCUAUUCUUGUAUAAAAGACUUUAACCCCAAGGAUAUAUUGUGUCUUCUUCUAGAUUUUCAUCUAGAAUUGAGUAGACUACCAGAUCUUGACUGAUGACAAUAUCCUUACUUCAUAUCCAAUGAGUAGAUUAUCAUCUAUCUAGAAGAUCUUAGAGCAUCGCAAUGCUUCCUUAUGCCUUAUUGUACACACAAGGCCCUUUGCUAUGAAAAUGUUUGGUUGUUGUAUCUUACAAAUGUGACACACUGCAAUAGAUAGGAGUAAUUUGAUGGAUUUAAGUAUGACUAUUGUUGAAAAGGUUUUCCGAAGUCGAAACAAAGUUUCAAACUAUAACCUUUAGCUACAAUCUUAGCCACAUAAAACUCAAGCUUUCCAUAUUCUCUUGUGUUCCUCUUGUAGACCAACUUACACCUACGGGUUUUAUCCCUUUAGGUGUUUCUGUAAGAACCCAAACUAUGUUAGAAUACAAAGAUUCUAACUACCUCUUCAUAGCUCCUUGCCUUAAGUGAGCACAAACACUACUCAUUGCUUCAUCAUAAUCUAUGGGAUAUGAACCUCCCAUUAUGAUAAGGCACUAGUGUACUAGAAAUCAUAGGAUUGGUAUGUCUUUAACCCUCUGGAUCCAUAGUAUCCUAUGCAAUGUGGGACUAUCUUCUAAUAUAUCCUCCAAUUUGUAUCACUCUUUGCCUCAAUCCUUAUCAUGUAAUCUUCACAAACAAUCUGACAUUUAUGUUAACAAAUAUCUUAUGAUGAUCCUAAUUAUAAAGGUAAUAACCCAAAAAUCCUCUUAGAUAUCCUAUAAACUAAUAUACAUUUUAAAAAAAAAGAGAUAUUACACUGUCUAUAAGACAUAUCCUCAAAAGAAUCCAAGAAAAGAUGAGAAACCUGUCCAUGAUCUUACUAUGUUUAACCAAGUUUGAUAUCUUCUUUCCACCUCUCCAUUUUGCAAUGGAGACCCUAGUGCACAUGACUAGGAAAUAAUCUUGUGCUCCAAUGAAAAAAAUCAAACUUAUUCGAUAUAUCACCUUGAUCUAAUCGAAGUGACUAGUAAUGUAUACCUAAUAGGUUAUCUGAUCCCGCCUUAAAUUCAAUGAAUGUAUCCAAGGCAUCGGAUCUCCAAUGUAUACAUUCAAACCUAGAGUAAUCAUCACUAAAAGUGAUCAAAUACCCAUACCCUCCCCAUGCAUGGACACUAAAAGUUCCAUACAUAUCAGUAUGCACUAACUUCAAACAUUUGUUGGCUCUAGUCUUCUUGGUCAUUUUACCAUCUAUAUAGGAUUUAUAGACUGAAAGAUCUUUUGGAAUCAAAGAGUCCAAACUUUACCAAUCUUUGGAUCCUAUUUAGAUUAAUAUGACCUAGGUCUAGAAACCAAAUGUUUAGUUAGUGCUGGGUUUAAUCCUAACAUCUAACUAUUCUUAUCACUUGGCAAAGUAAUAAUGGAAUACAUAUAAAGAAAGAGGAUAUUACCUCCCACUAAAUUGCAUAACUAACCUUGCAUUUGAAGCUAAGGUAAGUAUAAUCCUAUCAUUUAACCUUCUCACUUGUUGAAUAUCCUAUAAGGACUUAUAGAUAAUGGGCUUGGAAUCUAUCCACCAUAAAUGGUGAAAUCCAUCACUAAAUAUUCAACAAUGAGAAAAUAAUAUAUACUUUCCUUUUUUCCUUUAGGUAAACUAUAAAUUCCUUUUCUAGUGUCCUAAAAGGUCACAAAGGAGGCAUUUUCCCUUGUGCUUGCUCUCUUAUUCCUUCUCUUGAACCUUCCUUAUUUGAUAUUGUCCUUCUUCUUCUUGAGAGAAGAACCUAAAGAACCUUUGAUUUCCAUAUGAACGCCCUAUAAUAUUUGAGAAUCCCCUUAACCACCCCAAAGGAAAAUGGCAAGGUCUUUAAGAUCAUAUGUAUACCUGGUGUUCAUAAUGGUUCUAAGAGUAGCUUGUCAGAGCAGACUUACCCUUAUCACCAAAUAACCAUUGCAAACUAGAAAGAGAAUAUCAAAGUCUCUAGUAAUAGACAUAUGUUGCUAUUGUAACACAUUAUCCAAAGAUCCAAGUAUUAGACACUUGGUCUUUUGAUCAGUUUAAUACCACCUUGAUAUACCACUAUUUCCUUUUGCUAGGUUAGUUAAAAAGGAAUAGCUAGCUUUACCUAAACUAGCUCCUAUGUAAUUUGUUACUAUAUCCAGAAUAAAAUUAGUCCAAUUGAUUAGUUAGGCUUGCCCUAUUGUGAGAAGAAGAGUGAUAAUAGAACCAACAUGAUAUCUGUAACAAAGAAUAUAACUAAGCAUAUGACAUAAUUGAGCAUUCAUGGCAAUUGGUAAUUAAUUUAGCAAAAAUGUAGUGGUCUAAAACUACAUGUCCUUUUGCAAGGUAUCUAGUAUUAUAAGAAUCAAGCCUACAUGAGGCAGGUCACCUUAUAACUAGUUAGAGACCCUCUUAGAUUGAUCUCUUAACCUUAACCAUAAAGGUAUCUAAAAGCAAAAUCAACAUACCUUUUAUUUGGCACAUGGACUAUUCAAGUGGGAUUGCGUGGGGGCAAUUCUACCACUUCAUAUCCAUUGUCAAGUGUAUAACCAUUAUCCUUGAACUAUCAAUGUCAUCAAGUAAAGAAUCCCAUCAUGGGGGUGGUCCCUCCUACUAUAAACAUAUUUAAUCUCGUCCAUGUGGAGAGCCAUAUCUCUUGAUUCUUAGAGAUAACCCAUUGUGGGGGUGGUGAUGAACCCAAAUCAAGAUGGGCUCAAUAAUGGAGGCCGUGGGCUUGCCUAAGGCCCUCUCCCACUUAGUCUUUUGAGAUAAAUAAGAGCAUUUUAAAACCAAUAGUAAUUUCCCUAAUGCAUAAAUUAUCUAUUUUGAAAAUUUCCAAAAACAUAUGUUUCAUAAUUGGAAACCUAGUGUAAGAGGAGAAUACCAACAUGAAAAAUUUAAAAUUUCCAUGAGAGUAAGUUUCAAAAAUAAUUUUGAUAAAAUAUCCACUCUAAAAAAUUUUAAAACUAUUUUCAUACCAUUCUCCUUGUAUACACAAUUCCAGUAAGGAAAUUACCAAUUUAUGAGACUUUGAAUAAUCUUGAGAGCACCUUAUCCAAGAAAGGAACUUUUGCUUCUAAUAAAAAAUCCUCGUAAGAUUUACUUUCCUUAUUCCUUGCACUUUCCAACUUAAUAAAUAUUUCCAUGGAAAUUCCAUAAUAAUUUAUUCCAUUAAAUACUACAAAAAAUAGAACCUUUUAGUAAUUCUGUAAUAUAUAAAAUAUUUUCUAUGAAAAUCUUCCAAAAAUUUUUAUUUCCAAAAAGGAAUUAAACAAUCCAUUUUGGAAAGUAUUUUCAAAAUAUUUUAUAUCUCCAUUAAAUUACUAACACUUUCCAAAGUUAUUUUGGUAAACCUUCGUAUAAUAAAUUAUCUAUCAUGAGAUUUUCCAAAUCUAUUAUUUACUUUUAAACCGAAACUCCUAUGCUAAAAGAAUUGCUAUCUUAUUCCUUAUUAUUGAAUUAUCCAAACAAAAUGGUUUCCUCAUUCUCUCUAGGGGAGAGAGCUUGGAGAAACAACUAUAAGCAUAGUUUUCCUUAUCUUAUCAAGAAAAAACAAGAAAACAUCCUAAAGUUUUUUUAAAAAUAGAUAGUUUUAAAUAAAUAACAAUCUUAUUAGCAACAACGAGUUUAAAUAAAUAAUAUUGGAAAAUAUCUUCUCAUAAAAAUUUACUAAGAAUACCAAAAAACUUUUCUUUGGGUUCUAAUACUUAUUUUGGUAACUAUUUUAAUUAUAAAUUAUCUACCAUUAAUUUCCAAAAUUAACUUAUUUUCUUUAAAUUGGAAAUCCUAUGCAAAAUAGGAAAAACACUAUUUUAUAUAGAUUUGGAAAAAUAAGAGCUUUUCCUUAAAAGAAAGAUUUUAUUCUUAGAGAUCUCAAAUAUUUGAAAAUAUUUUAAAUAUAAUUAAAAUCUCUAAGAAUUUAUUUUAAAAAGGUAAGAAAGCUCUUAAUCCUUUUUCCAACUUAUCUUUUCUUUGAAAUAAAUUUUCCUAACCAUGCACAUUCCAAUUUAAAUAAAUUUCCAAUUUUGAAAAAAGCAUGAAAAUUUAUUUCCAAUUAAGAAUACCAAAAUAUCUUGAGGCCACAUAUGCAAUUAAUCAAGAACGUAUAAUAAAACAAGGGAAUAAAAAAAUAGAAACCUUUUUUCAUGGCCUUUAAGGAUACUGUUGCAUAUUUGGUAAUUAAAAUUUGUAUAAAAUCCAAAUUACCAAAAUUAAUCCUACAACCACAAAUUGGGUUAGUUAAAAUAGAAAACCUAAAAGGGCCAAUUUCCACCAAAAAUUAAUCCUAAGAAGCUCGGACAAAAAAAAAUAAAAAAUUGGACCCAUAUGCAAUCCCAUAACAACAUACUCUUUCCACAACAUUGCAUGCUUCAAUUAGCAAUAUCUCCCUCGUUUCAACUCCGAAUUGUGAUCCGUUUGAAGCGUUGGAUUUCUAAAUUCUCAAGAUUCAAAAUGAUAUGUGAUUUUCUAUGAGAAAAUAAUUGAAAGCAACCUCGAUUAUGGCUCAAAGUCGACGUCAUUUUGCUGCCAUGCACUUUGCACAAACUUGCUUCAUUCGACCACAUCUUCCUCAUUUCAACUCCGAAUUGCAAUCCAAUUAAACCAUUGGAUUCAUGAAUUCACAAUAUUCAAAUCCAUAUAUAGCUUACCCCAAGAAACUAUUGGGAGUUAGUCUUGAUUUUGAGUUCAAGUCAAUGUCACCAAGGAUCUCAAACUAAGAAUUUCCAAGAAUGCUUAUUUUUUCUUUAACCACCAUAGAAUCUAAAAAAAAAAUGAAAUUUUUGCAACAAUAAAAAUUUCUAUGCUUCUUUAAUGGAGCUUACAACCCAUUUAUUGAAAAGCAAAGAUUUUUACAACCAAAUAAAAAUUCUAUACCCUUUAUGGGGUGUACAACCCAAUCUAAAGAACAAUAAGGCAUAGAUCAUAUUCAAUCAAAUGAACAAAUAACAAUCAAUCACAAUUAGAAUCAUCAUAUUGACAUUCAUUCAAUUGAACAAAUAAAAACAUUUGAUUCUUUCAUCCCUUUGGGCCAUGGGAUGAAUAAAACAACCCUACAAAACAGAGUAAACACACCUUAGAACAGAUCUAAGAUGCUAGAACCUAACCUGUCUCUAAUACCAGUUGUUGGGAACUCUGGAUUACUCCAUUUCCAUGCCUUGGAUCAUGUAAGGUGCAAUAAAACCUAUCCUAGGCUCUCUAAAUCUAUCGUAGCAAAUAAACAGGUAUUCGAAAACAAAUAUUGAUUCCAUAGAAAACAUAGAUAUAGAGAAACAAUGCUCAUACUUUGAUCUGGAUGUUCUUAGAUAAAUUCCUUACAGUGAAGAUAACUCUAAAGUCAUAAUGGAUGUUGUAAACACCAUGAUCUUCCACUGUGAUAGAUUUAAAAAGCCUAUGAUAGAUUUUCAUGCACCCUACACGAUCUAAGCCAUGAGAACAUAGUAAUCUAGGGUUCUUGUAGACCCCUCAUUUUGCCCACGACACACAUAGGCUACUAUCCAAGUAAAUCAUUGUAAUUCAUCAACUUGUAGUCUCCGAUUCUUCUUCAGAAGCUUUUUGGAGGAUAAAUUACAGAACUUUGAUGUGAUCAUCUAAACCUUUGAAUUUGUAACUUAAAGUUUUCUGAUUAUUCAAACUUAUCAUUAACCAUAAACUAAAACAAAAAUAUUAAAUAAUUCUUUUAAAACAAAAUAAAAUAAGUUGUCUUCUUAAACAAUACACAUGCCAAAAUACUCAUUUAUUUAUUUAUUUUCUUUAAUAAUUCAUGACCAAAUAAAUAAUAAAAUAAAAUAAAAUAAAAUAAAAAUAUAAUAAUAAUAAUAUUAAUAAUAAAUUAAAUAAAUAAAUAAAUAAAUAAAAAUAAAAAUAAAACAUAGCAACGUUGAAAUUCAAUUUUGUUAAUACUAUCUAAUUCAUGUUUUAAAAUAUAAACUAAAAAUAAAUCUUUUUUUUAAUAAUAAACAAAUAUAUCAUGAACCUCAAAUAAAAAUAUACAUGAGUUCAUAAUAACUAGCAAAAUUCACACUCAAGAUAAAUCAUUUUUUUUAAUAAACACAAAAUUUAUAUAUUUUCAUAAAUUAUUCUAUAGUUACCAUUGAAGGUUUAUUAUUAUUAUUUAUUUUAUAUAUAUAUAUAUAUAUAUAUUAUAUUUUUUCUAACUCAUGCACCACUCACCUUUAUCUUUUCUUUUAUAUAUAUGCACUAGCUACAACCCCAUCAAUGCUAUCACAUCUCUCUGCCACAAUCCAAUUUUGGCUUCCCACACCACCUCAACACAUAUCCAUCAAUCCGACCUAUUCCCCAUGCCGUAGCCAUACUUUUAAUUGCCCAAGACACACCUCAAAUUAACCCUCACCAAGCUGCCUAUCUCCUACAAUAGCUCAUUUUCUUAGUUGCCCAAAAAACCUAUCUCUAUCAUACUCACUUAUCUUUUAUUCCUACCACAACCACACACUCUCUCAAGCUAUCGAAACUACAUCAAUUCACCUUCUAGCUGCCCUACCCCACUGUAUGUGAACCAUUAGCUCUCUUUUACAAGUUGUAGCAGUCAUAAUCAAUAGCACCUCCAUGUUUAGCUUGUAGAUUAAUUCUGAAUUUUUUUUAAUAAACAUAAAAUUUAUAUAUUUUCAUAAAUUAUUCUAUAGUUACCAUUGAAGGUGUUUUUUUUCUAACUCAUGCACCACUCACCUUUAUCUUUUCUUUUAUAUAUAUGGACCUACUACAACCCCAUCAAUGCUAUCACAUCUCUCUACCACAACCCAAUUUUGGCUGCCCAAGAUCACCUCAACACAUAUUAAUCAAUUCGUCCUAUCCCCCAUGUCGUGGCCAUACUUUUAAUUGCAUAAGACACACCUCAAAUUAACUCCCACCAAGCUACCCAUCUCCUGUAAUAGUUCAUUCCUAAAAAGCCUAUCUCUAUCAUCCUUACUUGUUCUUUAUUCCUACCACAACUGCACUCUCUCUUAAGCUACUGAAACUAUAUCAAUUCACCUUCUAAUUGGCCUACCCCACUGUAUCUGAACCAUUAGCACUCCUCUACCAGUUGUAGCAGCUGUAAUCAAUAACUCCCCCAUGUUUAGUUUGUAGAUGAAUUCUGAAAUUAUUUUUUUAAUAAACACAAAAUUUAUAUAUUUUCAUAAAUUUUUCUAUAGUCAUUAAAGGUUUUUUUUUUCUAACUCAUGCACCACUCACCUUUAUAUUUUCUUUUAUAGAUAUGCACCUACUACAACCCCAUCAAUGCUCAAAUUAACUCCUACCAAGCUGCCAUCUCUUGCAAUAGUUCAUUUUUUUUUUAUCUAACCAAAAAACCUAUCUCCAUCAUUCUCACUUGUCAUUUAUUCCUACCACAACCACACUCUCUCUUAAGCUACCAAAACUACAUUAAUUCUCUUUCUAGUUGCUCUACCUCACUGUAUGAGAACCAUUAGCUCUCCUUUACCAACUGUAGCAGCUAUAAUCAAUAGCACAUCCAUGUUUAGCUUGUAGAUUAAUUUUGAAAUUAUUUUUUUAAUAAACACAAAAUUUAUAUAUUUUCAUAAAUUAUUCUAUAGUUACCAUUGAAGGUUUUUUUUUUAAUUCAUUCACCGCUCACCUUUAUAUUUUCUUAUAUAUAUACACUUGCUAUAACUCCAUCAAUGUUAUCACAUCUCUCUACCAAUGCUUAAAUUUGGCUGCCUAAGACCACCUCAACACAUAUCCAUCAAUCCGUCUUAUCCUCUAUGCCGUAGCCAUAAUUUUAACCACCCAAGACACACAUCAAAUUAACCCCACCAAGCUGCCCAUAUCCUGCAAUAGUUUUUUUUUUUGUUGCACAAAAAGCCUAUGCCUAUAUUCCUCACUUGUUCUUUAUUCCUACCAUAACCACACUCUCUCUUAAGCUAUCGAAACUACAUCAAUUCACAUUCUAGCUACCCUACCCCACUAUAUGUGACCUAUUAGCUUUCCUCUACCAAAUAUAGCAGCCCUAAACAAUAUCACCUCUAUGUUUAGCUUGUAGAUGAAUUCUGAAAUUAUUGUUUUAAUAAACACAAAAUUUAUAUAUUUUCAUAAAUUAUUCAAUAGUUACCAUUAAAGGGUUUUUUUUUCUAACUCAUGCACCACUCACCUUUAUCUUUUAUUUUAUAUAUAUGCACCUGCUACAACCCCAACAAUACUAUCAUAUCUUUCUUCCACAACCCAAUUCUUGCAGCUCAAGACCAUCUCAACACAUAUCCAUCAAUCUGUCCUAUCUCUCCUGCUGUAGCGAUACUUUUAACUAGCCAAGGCAAACCUCAAAUUAACCCUUACCAAGCUACCCAUUUCCUACAAUAGUUCAUUUUUUUUACUGCCCAAAAAACCUACCUUUAUCAUCCUCAAUUGUCUUUUAUUCCUACCACAACCAUACUCUCUCUUAAGCUACCGAAACUACAUCAAUUCACCUUCUAGAUGCCUUACCCCAUUAUAUGUGAACCAUUAGCUCUCAUUUACUAGCUGUAGUGGCCAUAAUAAAUAGCACCUCCAUGUUUAGCUUGUAGAUUAAUUCUGAAUUAUUUUUUUCAUAAACACAAAAUAAUAAAAAAUUACUAACUGAAGAUUUUUUUUCUAACUUAUGCACUACUCACCUUUAUCCUUACUUUUAUAGAUAUGCCCCUGCUACAACCCCAUCAAUACUAUCACAUCUCUCCGCCACAACCCAAUUUUGGCUGUCCAAGACCACCUCAACACAUAUCCAUUAAUUCGUCCUAUCCCCCAUGUCGUAGCCAUAAUUUUGACAACCCAAGACACACAUCAAAUUAAUCCCCAUCAAGCUGCCCAUCUCUUGUAAUAGUUCAUUUUUUUUAGUUAUCCAAAAAACCUAUAUCUAUUUCCCUCACUUGUCAUUUAUUCCUACCACAACCACACUCUCUCUUAAACUACCGAAACUAUACCAAUUCACCUUAUAGCUACCUUACCCCACAGUAUGUGAACCAUUAGCUCUCCUUUACCAGAUGUAGUAGUCGUAAUCAAUAGCAUCUCCAUAUUUAGCUUAUAGAUUAAUUUUGAAAUUAUUUUUAUAAUAAACAUAAAAUUUAUAUUUUUUCAUAAAUUAUUCUAUAGUUACCAUUGAAAGUUUUUUUUUUUCUAAUUCAUGCACCACCCACCCUUAUUUUUUCUUUUAUAUAUAUGCAUCUGCUACAACCCCAUCAAUUUUAUCACAUUUCUCAACCACAACCUAAUUUUAGCUGCCCAAGACCACCUUAACACAUAUCCAUCAAUCCUUCCUAUCCCCUAUGCCAUAGCCUUACUUUUAACUACCCCAGUCACACCUCAAAUUAACCCUCACCAAGCUGCCCAUCUAAUACAAUAGUUUAUUUUUUUUUGCUGCUCAAAAAACCUAUCUCUAUCAUCCUCACUUAUCCUUUAUUCCUACCACAUACAACUAGACUCUCUCUUAAGCUAUCGAAACUACAUCAAUUUACCUUUUAGUUGCCCUACCCCACUGCGUGUGAACCAUUAGCUCUUCUUUACCAAUUGUAGCAGUCGUAAUCAAUAGCACCUCCAUGUUUAGCUUGUAAAUGAAUUUUGAAAUUAUUGUUUUAAUAAACAAAAAAUUUAUAUAUUUUCAUAAAUUAGUCUAUAGUUACCAUUAAAGGGUUUUUUUUUUUUUUUUGCUAACUCAUGCACCAAUCACCUUUAUAUUUUAUUUUAUAUAUAUGCACCUUCUACAACCCUAACAAUACUAUCACAUCUCUUUGGCACAACCCAAUUUUGGCAACCCAAGACCUCCUCAACACAUAUCCAUCAAUUCGUCCUAUCCCCCAUGUCGUAGCCAUACUUUUAACUGCCCAAGACAUACCUAAAAUUAACCCCCACCAAGAUGACCAUCUCUUGCAAUAGUUCAUUUUUUUUAACUGCCCAAAAAACCUACCUUUAUCAUCAUCACUUGUCCUUUAUUCCUACCACAACCACACUCUCUCUUAAGCUAUCAAAACUACAUCAAUUCAGCUUCUAGCUGCCUUACCCCACUGGCUGUAAACCAUUAGCUCUCAUCUACUAGCUAUAGCAGCCGUAAUCAAUAGCACCUCCAUGUUUAGCUUAUAGAAUAAUUAUGAAUUUUUUUUUCUUAGACACAAUUUAUAUCUUUUCAUAAAUUAUUCUACAGUUAUAAUUGAAGAUUUUUUUUUUUUUUCGAAUUCAUGCACCACUCACCUUUAUCUACUCUUUUAUAUAUAUGCACCUGCUACAACCCCAUCAAUGUUAUCACAUCUCUCUACCAUAACCUAAUUUUGGCUGUCCAAGACCACCUCAACACAUAUCCAUCAAUUCGUCCUAUCCCCCAUGCUGUAGCCAUACUUUUAACUACCUAAGAAUUACCUCAAAUUAACCCCCACAAGCUGCCUGUAGACCCUCAAUUUUGUCCCUCGACACUGGCAUUUAUCCUUUGGGUGUCACAUCCACCCAUCGUUCGCAUAUGGCACCACUAGGGCCCCUUUUGGGCUUAGUCGGUGUCCGAGCCUCGUGUGGGUUUGUCUGUGGUCCAUUGUGGUGCAUAUGUGGUUCAUUUUGGAGGGUCACCAUGGCCAUUUUCCUAGUCGUUCACAUCAUGCUAUAGGAAGGAAGUGGGGUCAUCCCGAUGUUUUAGCUUAGUUGGAGUUUAUAGGGGCAUGUUGAGGUUCGGAGCACUCGGGCUUGUUUUGAUCGUAUCUCCCUCAUCCAAACUCGGAAUCAAGAACCGUUUAUUUUUAUGGAUUCCUUAUUCUUCCAGGAACAUUUUGUGAAAUUUUCAAAAUUUUUUGCAACCGGUCGGCUGGUUGGCAGCCGGUUCAGCCGGUUCAUCAGGUCAGCCAGUGUAGAACACUGAUUUUUGGUAAUUGUUUUGAUCAUAUCUCCCUCUUCCGAACUUGGAAUCAUGUACCAUUUUUUUUAAUGGAUUUAUUACUCUACUAAGAACAUUCUGUCAAAUUUUCAGAAUUUUUUUCCAUCGGGUCGACCAGUUGGCAUCCGGUUCGGCCGGUUCAGCCAGUUCAUUGAGUCAGCUGAGGUAAAACACUAAUUCUAGUAAUUUUGAGGCCCAAAUCCUACAUGGCUCAGGCCCGUAAGCUCUAGAUCGGUUUUGGGCAAUGUUGUGGGUCCAUUUUAGGCCUUGGUUUGGGUUCCUUGCAGCCCACCACGAAUCCAUAUGGAUUCUUGGUGGUGAAGCAAGCUGAAAACUGAAGGAGUGAGCUGGCCUUGUAAGUUUAAGAGAAGUAAUGAGGGGUGUGGUUCCCAUGCUGAUGAAGGGGAUUUCGGUGCUGAAGGGGAAGGAAUCCAGGAGGCUCAAAUGCUAAGAGGGGAUGAGUAUAAAAGGUGUAAGGAUAAGAGAGCAAAGGGGAGGAGGGGACAUUUUGGAGAGGAGAAAUUUUGCUGGUGAGAAAAACAAAAGGUCAGUAGCAUCUUCUGAGUUGAGAGUGUGGGGGAAAGCUUCAGCACUGUGGUUUUUUUGAAGAGGAGAGUGACAACAUCUCAGUUUUGGAAGUCAUCAUCUACAUACACAGAUCAUAUUUAGUGGAGUUUCUGAGGUAAGCAUGCUGAAUUUUCUUUACUUACAACUUAUCUUCCUCGUCUUCAUAUGCUUUUUCUCCUUCCUCAUCAUCUUUUCUUCCCUUUGAUAUGAAGAUUGUAUUGCUUGGGUGUGGACAAUAAGGGCCACACAUGAUUGUUGUUGUUUGCUUCCUUAAUCACUUAGGAAUUUUCUGACCGAAUUUGGGAUUCUUUACCAAUCGGCUGAAUCGGUUUGGAAUCUGUUCAACCGGUUCAGCACCAUAGCUGGCAGCCUCUGUCAGCCAUGAGGAACACUUGCCUUUCUUUGUCUGGUUCUCACUCAUCCGGGGUCAGAAUUGAGAACCAUUUCUUUUGUUUGUUUCCUUAAUCACUUAGGAACUUUCUAACCGAAUUUGGGAUUUUUUACCAACUGGCUGAACUGGUUGGGAACCGGUUCAACCGGUUCAGCACCAUGGCUGGCAGCCUCUGUUAGCCAUGAGGAACACUUGCCUUUCUUUGUCUGGUUCUCACUCAUCCAGGCUUGGAAUUGAGAACCGUUUCUUUUGUUUGCUUCCUUAAUCACUUAGGAACUUUUUGACCGAAUUUAGGAUUUUUUAUCAGCCGGAUGAACUAGUUGGGAACCGGUUCAACCGGUUCAGCACCAUAGCUGGCUGCCUCUGUCAGCCAUGAGGAACACCUGCCUUUCUUUGUCUGGUUCUCACUCAUCCGGGCUUGGGAUUGAGUGUCGUUUCUUUUGUUUGAAUCCUCACUAAUUUAGGAGUUUUCUAGAAAAAUUUGGGAAUUCUUCUCAAUAGGUUGUACCAGUUGAGAACUAGUUCAACUUGUUCUGCUGGAGAACUUUAGGUAGCCCUCGAUUUUGGCAUUUUUCGAGCCCUUAUCCAUGGGGGCUCAAACCCAUUUGCUAUAGGGCACUUGUGAGCCAUCUUGAAGGUUUAAUUCAAUGUUUCAUUUCAGUUAGUAUGGGCAAUUUUGAAGUUAUGGGUGGUGUGGUCUAGAUGAGUCUAGUUUGAUUUGUAUGACAUUUGGGGAGUCCCUUACCUCAUUUCAACCAGCUAUCUUCCUUUUUGGCACAAGCUUUGAUGCUUGAUUUUGAAUACAUGUUGCGUGACUGACUCACCCUUUGCUGUAGCGCUUGGCUAGAGACCACAGGUACGCAUCGUUGGCUUUGGUUGUUGAAUUCAUAUGCAUGCAUGGUGCUUAAUCUUGAAUGUUUGUUAUGUGUUUAUCUGUGUUUGGCUGACCUUUUAUGCAGCGCUUGGCUAGGGACCACAGGUACGCACCCAUUGUUUUGUUUGGUUGAAUUCAUAUGCAUGCCAAAUACCAAUUAGGAUUGUGUGAUUCAUGACAUCUAUUUAGCCUAGGGUUUCAUUUGACCUUUGACCCAUAUGCUCCCACAUACCCAAUUCAUUAGUAAAGACCGAGUUUCGGGCCUAGAGGGGUGCUACCUCGCAUGAAGUACCUUCCCAAUGGGUAACCUGAUCCCCGGACCCAGAAUCUAGUUUUCGUAGACCGCUUUUUCCAUACUGGGGUCAUUAGGGGUUUUUGUUCUUACUUAAUUUUCCCCAUUUUAAAAACAAAAAUAAAAAGUAAGUGGCGACUCCAAGCGACACCGUUCCUCACCGGGGGCGGGUUUUUCAAAAUUGGAAAACACCAACUUUUUCAUUUCUUUCUUUUCUUUUAAAAGUGAGUCGCGUCGGUUCGGUGGAUCGGGUGAGGGUCCACACUGCCCAUCUCUUGCAAUGAUUUUUUUUUUUUUUUUUGUUGCCCAAAAAACCUAUCUCUAUUAUCCUCACUUGUCUUUAUUGCUACCACAACCAUGCUCUCUCUUAAGCUAUCAAAACUACUUCAAUUCACUUUCUAGCUGCCUGACCCCACUAUAUGUGAACCAGUAGCUCUACUGUAAUAACUGUAGUAGCCGUAAUCAAUAACACCUCCAUGUUUAGCUUGUAGAUUAAUUUUGAAAUUAUUUUUUUAAUAAACACAAAAUUUAUUUAUUUUCAUAAAUUAUUCUAUAGUUACCAUUAAAGGUUUUUUUUUUUCCUAAUUCAUGCACCACUCACCUUUAUCUCUUCUUUUAUAUAUAUAUGCACUUACUACAACCCCAUCAAUAUUAUCACAUCUCUAUACCACAACCUAAUUUUGGCUGCCCAAGAACACCUCAACACAUAUCCAUCAAUCCAUCCUAUCCCCCAUGUUGUAGCCAUACUUUUAACUACCCAAGACACACCUCAAAUUAACCCUCACCAAGCUGCCCAUCUCCUCUAAUAGUUCAUUUUUUUUAACUAACCAAAAAACCUACCUUUAUCAUCCUCACUUGUCCUUUAUUCCUACCACAACCACACUCUCUCUUAAGCUACCUAAUCUACAUCAAUUCACUUUCUAGCUGUCUUACCCCACUGUAUGUGAACCAUUAGCUUUCAUCUACCAACUGUAGCAACUGUAAUCAAUAGCACUUCCAUGUUUAACUUGUAGAUUAAUUAUGAAUUUAUUUUUGUCGUAAACACAAAAUUUAUAUCUUUUCAAAAAUUAUUCUAUAGUUACCAUUGAAGUUUUUUUUUUUCUAAUUCAUGCACCACUCACCUUUAUCUUUACUUUUAUCGAUAGGCACUUGCUGAAACCCCAUCAUUGCUAUCAAAUCUCUUUGCCACAAACCAAUUUUGGCUGCCUAAAACCACCUCAACACAUAUCCAUCAAUUUGUCUAAUCCCCCAUGAUGUAGCAAUAAUUUUAAUUGCCCAAGGCACACCUCAAAUUAACCCCCACCACCCAUCUCUUACAAUAGUUCAUUUUUUUUAGCUACCCAAAAAACCUAUAUCUAUUAUCCUCACUUGUCAUUUCUUCUUACUACAACCACACUCUUUCUUAAAAUACCGAAACUUCAUCAAUUCACCUUGUAGCUGCCCUACCCCACUGUAUGUGAACCAUUAACUCUCUUCUACCAUCUAUAGUAGUCGUAAUCAAUAACACCUCCAUGUUUAGCUUGUAGAUUAAUUUUGAAAUUAUUUUUUCAAUAAACACAAAAUUUAUUUAUUUUCAUAAAUUAUUCUAUAGUUACCAUUAAAGGUUUUUUUUUCCUAAUUCAUGCACCACUCACCUUUAUCUCUUCUUUUAUAUAUAUAUGCACUUACUACAACCCCAUCAAUGUUAUCACAUCUCUAUACCACAACCUAAUUUUGGCUGCCCAAGAACACCUCAACACAUAUCUAUCAAUCCAUCAUAUCCCCCAUGCCAUAGCCAUACUUUUAACUACCCAAGACACACCUCAAAUUAACCCUCACCAAGCUGCCCAUCUCCUGCAAUAGUUCUUUUUUUUCUAGCUGCCCAAAAAACCUAUCUUUAUCAUCCUCACUUGUCCUUUAUUCCUACCACAACCACACUCUCUCUUAAGCUACCGAAACCAAUGUUUUCAGAACCGGACCGGUCAUCGAACUAGAAAAGUUACUGAUUCAUGGUUCGCUGGUUGGACCAGUGGUCGAAUUGUGAUCGAAUCGGUGACGUCAUAAAUAUGUAAUUUAUAUAUUAUUAAAAUUAAAAAUAAUUAUAAAAAUUUUAAAAUAUAUAUGAAUAAAUUAAAAAUCAAUAAUAUUAUUUUAUAUCUUUGAUAUUAUCAAAUUAAAUCAUAUUAAUAUUUUAAAUUUUAUUAAAUGAAAUAUGUAUGAUAUUUAAAUGUGAAUAUAUUAAAAAUGAAAAUUUAAACUAAUUUUAUAAUUUUUAAAAAUCUUAUAUUAUUUUUAUUUAAUUUUAUAAAAAAUGUUAAAAUCUAAUAUAUAUUGUUUUGUUUGGCAUGUUAGAUAAUCAAAUGCAUGUAGCCGAGUGGUGUCCUAUUCUAAUGGUAGAACCUGAGGUGCAAGGUUUAAGCCCUCUUGGUGGAGAGGCUUGUUAUAUUUUUUUUCAUUGAUAAGUUAGCAAUCCCACAUCGGAUUGUGAGAGGAAACAUGCUACAAAGGAUGCCUAUAAAAGCCAUCCUCACCUAAGGCAAAGUCAUCACCUGGGCUCAAGACUCAGCCCAUAAAAUUGUGAGAAUGGGUGUGGGCUUUGUCAUAAUAAGACAAGGCCCAACAUGGGCUUUAGCCCAAAAUAUUUAAACCCAAUGGAACCCCCCUUUCCAUGUUUGCAAAAUCAAGGGGUUAACUUGAACUGUUCGGUUCGUUUAGAACCGUCAGACUCCAGCGAGUCAUCGGUCCGACCGCUGAUUUAAGCGGUUCGAUACCGGUCCAAUCCCUAAAAGGUCUAAUGGAGCAAAUCAGACUGGAAGUGCGACCGAUCAACGGUUGAACCAAUUGGACCGGCCGGUCCAGUCCGAUUUUUAAAACAUUGAGCGAAACUACAUCAAUUCACCUUUUAGCUGACCUACCCCACUAUAUGUGAACCAUUAGCUCUCCUCUACCAGCUGUAGUAGCCAUAAUCAAUAACACCUCCAUGUUUAGCUUGUAGAUUAAUUUUGAAAUUAUUUUUUUAAUAAACAUAAAAUUUAUGUAUUUUCAUAAAUUAUUUUAUAGUUACCAUGGAAGGUUUUUUUUUUCUAACUCAUGCACCACUCAACUUUAUCUUUUCUUUUCUAGAUAUGCACCUACUACAACCCCAUCAAUGCUAUGACAUCUCUCCACCACAACCAAAUUUUGGCUGCCCAAGACCACCUCAACACAUAUCCAUCAAUCUGUUUUAUCCUCUAUACCGUAGCCAUACUUUUAACCGCCCAAGACAUACCUCAAAUUAACUUUGACCAAGCUGCCCAUCUCCUGCAAUAAUUCAUUUUUUUUAGCUGCUUAAAAACCUAUCUCCAUCAUUCUCACUUGUUCUUUAUUCUUACCACAACCACACUCUCUCUUAAGCUACCAAAACUACAUUAAUUCUCCUUCUAGUUGCACUACCCCACUGUAUGUGAACCAUUAGCUCUCCUCUACCAACAAUAGCAGCCGUAAUCAAUAGCACCUCCAUGUUUAGCUUGUAGAUAAAUUUUGAAAUUAUUUUUUUAAUAAACAUAAAAUUUAUAUAUUUUCAUAAAUUAUUCUAUAGUUACCAUUAAAUUUUUUUUUUUCUAACAUAUGCACCACUCACCUUAAUAUUUUCUUUUAUAUAUAUGCACCUGCUACAACCCCAUCAAUGCUAUUACAUCUCUUUACCACAACCCAAUUUUGGCUUCCCAAGACUACCUCAACACAUAUUCAUCACUUCGUCUUAUGCCCCAUGUCGUAGCCAUACUUUUAACUGUCUAAGACACACCUCGAAUUAACCCUCACCAAGCUGCCCAUCUCCUACAAUAGUUCAUUUUUUUUAGCUACCCAAAAAACCUAUCCCUAUCAUCCUCACUUUUCAUUUAUUCCUACAACAACCACACUCUCUCUUAAGCUACCGAAACUACAUCAAUUCACCUUUUAGAUGCCUUAUGCCACUGUAUGUGAACCAUUAGCUUUCCUCUACCAACUGUAGCAAUUGUAAUCAAUAGCACCUCCAUGUUUAGCUUGUAGAUUAAUUCAUAAAUAUCCUAUCUAAAUUUUCAAAAGCCACACCCAUGUCUCUAACCUUUGCAUUAGUCAUUAGAAGUUCACCAAAUCCUUUACUUUAUCCAAACUAAGCACUUCCAUCAUGGUUGCCACUUUUUUCUCCUAAAAUCGAGUACCAUAUAGCACCAUGUACCCUCAUGACUAUUUCAUCUUCUUUCUAUCAUCAAACCUUUGCACCACCUUACCAUAGGCUUUACAACGACUUCAUCUUCUUUCUUCUUUCAAGCCAAACACCAUGUUGCACGACACAACCCCAUUGCAACUUCAUAGUCUCCUUUCCUUCAAGCCGAAUACCACAAUAAUUUCAAUGUGUAGCAAGAUGAUCCAAAUGUGGCUACCAUGAAGAAGAAUGUUGGAUUUUUUCGACAAAGAAGAUGUUUAGAUGACACCAUCAGUGAUUACUCCACAUGCCUCAUCAAGUUUAAAGUCAGAUAACUUGUUGUUGUUGAUUUGUUUUCUUGUUGUGUUUGGACCCUAUACAUGUACUUUUUAUGAAGGCCAUAUAUGGUCAUGCUUAUUUUGUAUUUAUUUUGAUUAUUUCAUUUUUUGUUGUUUUAGUUUCAUCUUUAUUAUAUGUCUUUAAGUUAUAUGAAUCUCAUACAUUUUAAGUUGGGUAGACAUAAAAGGGACGGGAAAAUCAGUUUUCGAUUAAGGCCUGUUUGACCGAAAAAUGGGAGAAUAGUUUUGGAAGUUUAAGAUGUUUGCAUUUGGGUGAGAUGGUGAGUUUAUGUGAGAAGAAGGGGUCGAGAGUCUUGGAAGAGAGGAUAUAAAAUCAGAGGCUCAUUUUUUGUUAGAGGGGUUAACCUUUUUUGGAGGGUCGUUUUGAGAUUUUUGUGGAGUUGAGAAAAAGUGAGAGAAAAAAACAGAGAGAAAAGAGAAAGAAAGAGGUAAUUGGAAGGCUAUGAGUUUUCUUUUUCUGUUCUUGGUUGAGAGAAAUUUGGGAAAGAGAAGUCGAGAUCGAGAGUUCUAGUGGAAGUGGCACUGCCUUUGAACUUCAGAUAAUCGGAUUUCAUGAACUGCAUUUUUUUCUCACAAGCGCUUGGAAUGCAAAUCAGGUAUGUAUUUCUUUAUUAAAUUGAUGAAUUGUAUUGAUGUGCUGAUUUAGUUUAUAGUAUCUAUGAAUUAGCUAAUUAAUCAUUGCAUUUAUUUCAACUUACUUAGUAGAGACCUAACUUUUAGGGCUUAGAGGGGUGCUACAGUUUUUCAUUGUACCUUCUCGAUAAGUAACAUGAUCCUCGAACUUAGACUCGAGUUUUCAAAAACAGGCUUUUCUAAAGAAAAAUGAGUCAUUUUUGGGUUUUUUUUUGUAUUUUUAAAAAAUAAAACAAAAAUAAGUGGUGAUUCCGUUAUUUAUAAAAUUGGUUUUUCACAAACAAAACUCGAGUCUCGCCAUCAAGUGAGAACACAUAUGAAAAUGCAGGAUCACAAAGUGGCGACUCCACUAGGGAUCUUAGAGGGUCAAGCUUGAACUUAAGUUGAAGUAAAUGUGAGGUUUAAUUGGUUGAUUAAUGGAUACCCCUUCUUUGUGCCUUUGUUUGAUUGUGUGAUUAAAGACACAUUGAAGAUUUUUUUUACUACAAAUAUCUAUGAUAGAUGCAUACUAGAUUAUGAUGUUUACUUAUGAUUGCUUCUCUUGCCUAUUAUGUUUUCUUACCAUAAUUGAUUGUAUUCUUAUCGCAUGAUUAUUAUACUUUAGCAUGAUGGUUGAUUUAGCUGUAUGCUUUAUUAGAUUAUCAUGUCUUUGUUUAAUUUGAAUAUAGUGAUGGAUGAUUUAUACUUGUAUUGCAUUACUGAUUGUAGCAUGACUACUCUUCUCUUGUGUGACUACUUGUUGCAUGUUUGUGUGGGACACACUUGUAUCCCCUUAACUCCAAUUCUCUAGUCUUGAUUGGUUUGUUUCCCUUGAUCUUGUAUUAUAUAUGAGACUUGUUAAUUCACGUCUUUUUUUUUUAUCAAGUUAGAGACUAGGAGUAGGGUCCAGUGACGGGCUAUAUUGAUGUUUGGGAGCGCUAUGGAGGUAGGCAUAUUAAUACCAAUAGGAGUCCGAUCAUUGAAGACUUAUAUGGCCUAAAACUGGAUUGAAUGGAUGCUCAUGUGGAGUAAUCAAAGACUUGUAUGAGUUUGAGUUACAAUAAGAUGCUUGGAUAUGUUAUUCUUGGUUAUGGUUCUUUAGUGCAAUAUAUGUAUUCCUCUUGUAUCGUGCUUUAUCCAAUAUUUGAACACCUUCUAGAAGUAGUCAUCCCUUCCAGUUUGGGUCCAUCGACGUGAGUUAGAGUUGAUGGCAGACUUGUUUGCACAAGAUAUCAGAGAGAUAUGAACUCACAGCUAGUUACAGUUGAUUAGUUCACCUCAGUUAUGGCUUCUAUCCAAGAGGCCAUUGCAAGCCUUGGACAAAGGAUGGAUAGGUAGCAGAUUCGGUAGACACCUCUUCAAGAGGAUACUCAAUUUGACCUAGUGCCACCACCAUCUUCCCCUAUUAGUUAGUCAGACCUACCAGUCGCACCAUUUAUUCUUCAUAGUCAGACCGAGGUCGCUCCACCUUCUAUCACCAUGCCUACCCCUACUUCAAAUGAUACCCAUGCUCACGUGGAUAGGCUUGAGCAGAGACUGAGACAUAUAAGAACCUUAGAUGGAGGGGUUACAUGGGAUGAUUUUGAUGGAUCGCCUGUGGCUAACUUACCGGCCAAGUUCAGGAUGUCAGAUAUUGAGAGAUAUACGGGCAUAGGUUGUCCUCGUAUUCAUUUGAGAUUUUACAGUAUUGUCAUGAGGGCUCAAGGGUUCAAUGAGAGCCAAAUGAUUAUGUUUUUCCCUAUGUCUCUAAGUGGCGCUACCCAGAGGUGGUUUGCUUCUUUAGAUGCUUCACAUUGUAGGACUUGGGAUGACUUAGCUCAAGAGUUUUAGAGAUAGUUUGUCUUCAACACUAUUGUUGAUAUGUCUAAGAGAGAGUUGGAGGCCUUGAGGCAAAGACCAGAUGAGUCAGUGACUUCGUUUAUCUCCCUUUGGAGGGAGAAGGUAACAUUGAUGGUUGAUCAUCCUUCAAAGAGAGAUCAUAUUUGCAUGAUUGUGAAGAGCUUACAACCUAGGUUUUCCAAGCAUUUGAUGGGGUUUACAUAUGCAGAUUUUGGAUUUUUAUGAUGUUGAGAAGGGUAUUUCAAGAGGGUUAUGGCUAGAGUCUUUCCCUAUUGAUCCUAAGGGGAAGAAACCAUCAGGAGGUCAACAUUCAGAUGUGGGUGCUAUAUCUACCUUUAAACUAAGGCCUCCUAGAUAUCGACGGUCAUUUCCAUAUACUUUCAGGGCUCGUUCUCCUUACACUCCAUACCCUCAGUACUAGUAUAGGUCUUCGAUUCGUCUACAGGCUUAUGAUCAGACUUAUUUGUAUUUCGCUUUCCUUCAGCCUUGCUAUGCUACUCAGGCUAUUGAUAGGCCACCUAUUGCAUACUCCAGGCCCCGAGCAUCUCAUACUCUAGUUACUUUCAUUCCUAGACCACAAAGGUAGUUUUCCCAACUAGGGAUGCCAUUGAGUUAGGAUUUCAAGAAGCUUGUUAAUGCUAGAUUAUUGACAGCACUAGCUCCACGCUUAGUACCUUAGCCGAUUCCCUCGAACUAUAGACUGGAUCUUCAUUGCCUAUACCAUCAGAGUUUAGGGUAUGACACAAAUAGGUGCAUGACUUUGAGACACACCAUACAUGAUUUGAUAGAUCGGGGUUCGAUGUGGGGUAACCAAGUGUCAUCGCAAACCCAUUACUAACUCAUUCUACUCAUGUAGUACCACCACUAGCCAGGGGUGUCCCCUUUAUUGAUAUUGAUGGAGAUGACUUUAUUCACAUGAUUAGUUGGGAGGAUCAUGCACCAGAUCUUAUAGUAUUAGAUGUGAGAUUAGAAGUUGAUGGAGUCACUUUGGGUACAUCGUCUAUCCUAGACAGACCUCCAUUUCAGUUGAUCCCAAUUCAUGACUCAUUUGUUGUCCAUUGUGCUUUCAUUCCCUUUGUUUUGAUGCCUGAGGAUACUAAUGAGAUUGUUGAUCAAGAUGUCCAUAUAGUCACUUGUAGUGGAAGAGUGACUUAGCCUCCAUUAGCAUAGACUAGACUAUUUGAGGGUACUAGGUCUAGAGAUGUUGUGAUAUAAUAGGAUGAUGAAAUCAUGAGGUAGCUACAAAGUACACAAGCUCACAUCUCUAUCUGGAGUUUGCUAGUUUCUUCUACUACUCAUAGAGACACAUUGAUUAGGACUCUGAGUCAUAUUAGAGUUAAGUCUGUUAUAUCUCCGGAUAGUCUGAUUCACAUGUUGAUUGUUGAUAGAGCUACAUGCAUUGUAUUAUCUACUGAUUACCUACCCCUUGGAAGCCUAGAUCAUACUUUGCCUUUAUAUAUCAUUGUUGGUUGCUUAGGGAAUUGAGUUCCAUUUGUCUUAUUGGACAAUGGCUUCACCUUGAAUGUGUCCUUUAGCUAUUGCUAUGGCACUUGGGUUUGGUCCGUCAGAUUUUGAGCCACCUACACAGUUUGUCAGAGCUUAUGAUAGCACACAAAGAGAGAUCCUUGGCACAUUGACACUUAAGCUAAAAAUUGGUCUAGUUGUAUUCUCCGUAGUAUUUCAGGUUUUGAGGAUACCUACAUUCUUUAACAUGUUAUUGGGCAGACCUUGGAUUCACUGAGCCAGCGCCAUACCAUCUUCUUUUCAUCAAGAGGUGAAGUUCAUACAUGAGGAUAUAGUCAUUACCAUACAAUUUAAUGGAGAUAUUUCUUUAUCCUUUGAGCUAGUUUUAGAGAUUAGCCAUAGUGAGGAUGACUUGUUUUUUAAUGGUUUCACAUUUGAAAAGGUUUAGAUUGUGACUAUUGAGGAGUCUCUUAGAGAUCAUGUACCUCUGUCUUUUGAUCGCCAUAGUGGCACUAUUUUCUUGGUUUGGGAUUAGGACAAUGACAACAUGGUAUCAGUGAGUUUAUAGCUAUUGUGAGUUAUGAUACACCCUUUAGCUUGGGAUAUACACUUACAGAGGCAGACUAUUGAUACAUGGCAUACCUACAUAGACAGAGGCUCAGAGCCUGGUUACUUCACAUACCAUUUAAUUACCCACUCUAACCAUAUACGAUGGCUAAGACAAAAUAUUUUAUGAGAGCUUCUGAGAUGCUUUUGACAUUGGAGGGUAUUAUUGGUGGAUAUGAUGGUGAUCAAUAGAUCGAGGGACUUUUCCAAUAGCUUCAGUUGACAUAUAGAUCUCCUAGUACUUUCAUCUCAGUAUUGGUGGCUCCUCUGUCCCCAAAUUGUGACAGCAUGAUAUCACUUUGUUUUCCUAAGGAGAUAGGUAGCUAGGAGCCAUUGCUUCAGUAUGUAGACAUAUCUUAUGGAGUUGACUUACCAGAUGACUACUAGGAUGAGAUAGCUAUGAUGAGUUUGAGCCAGAUAGUUCAUACCAUUUAACUAGAUUCUUUCACUCCAACUGCCACAUCUGAGGCAUCUACCAUCGAGAUCUUCGACAUUGUCCAGACUAGACCCAUUUCAAAUUUAUUUAAUGAAGAUGAUUCUCUUACAGAUGAUGUACUUGAGGGCACUGUUAGCUCGAUGGUGGUAGUGUCUGACUUUGUGGACUCACCCAAUUCUUUUGAUGUAUUUUCGAGUUUGUCUUCUGCAUUGAUGAUGUACCUAUUGAUUCUUCAUAUAUAGACAUGAGUAUUUUUUAGUAUUCACCUGCUUUUCAUGAUGACGUUACUGUACAUGCACUUAUGAGGACAUUCCAAGCCUCGGUCCUUCUAUUGUUCAACACCAAUUACCAUUUUCACCACAUGCUAGACUAGUUAAAUAGAAGUUAAGGCGAUUGCACCCUUAAUGGAGUUUGAAGGUAAAAGAUGGGACCUAGAAGUAGCUCAGUGUUGGAUUUAUAUUAGUAGUAGAGUAUCUUGAGUGGUUGGCCAAUGUCAUCCCUACUCCUAUGAAGAACAACAAAGUCAGAGUUUGUGUGGAUUUUAGAGAACUCAACAAGACCAGCCUUAAGGACGACUUUCCCUUACUUCACAUUGAUAUGUUGGUUGAUAGCACAGUUAGUUAUUCAUUGUUGUCCUUCAUGAAUGGGUUUUCGAGGUAUAACCAAAUCUUGAUGGAUCCAAAGGACAUGGAGAAGACCGCUUUCAUCACUAAGUGGGGCACAUAUUGUUAUGAGGUGAUGCCAUUUGGGUUGAAGAAUGUAGGAGCUACAUAUUAGAGAGUGGAGACCAUUCUUUUCCAUGACAUGAUGCACCCGGAUGUUGAGGUGUAUGUGGAUGACAUGAUAGUGAAAUCUCGGAGCGGAUCAUCUAGCAACCCUGGAGAGAUUCUUUGAGAUGAUCAAAUAGUUCAGAUUGAGAUUGAAUCCCAAGAAGUGCACAUUUGGAGUGACCUUUGGGAAAUUAUUGGGAUAUAUUGUUGGUAAGGGAGGCAUAGAGGUAGACCCAGAGAAUAUUAGAGCCAUUCUUGAGAUGCCUACACCAAGGACUGAGAAGGAGAUCAGAGGAUUUCUCUGUAGACUACAAUAUAUUAGUAGAUUCAUAGCUCGAUUGACAAACAUAUGUGAGCCCAUCUUCCGACUCCUGAGGAAGAACCACCUUAUUGUUUGGGAUGAUAAUUUUGAACGUGCCUUUGAGAGGAUUAGAGAGUAUUUGAUAUCCUUUCUAGUUCUGGAACCUCCCACUCCCAAUCGACUUUUUUUUUUUUGUAUAUCUUAGAGAUAGCCUUGGGAUGCAUGCUAACUCAGUUCGAUGAUUUGGGCAAAGAGUGAGCCAUUUAUUAUUUGAGUGAGAUGAUGCUAGAGUAUGAGAUGAGAUACAUUUGGAUAGAGCGCCUCUGUUUGGCAUUGGUAUGGGCUAUUAGAAGACUAAAACAUUACAUGACAGAGUAUUCGGUACACUUGAUAUCCCGACUGGAUCUCUUAAUAUAUUUGUUUGAUAGGCCUAUUUUACCUGGUAGAUUGAUGAUAUGGUUAGUACUCUUGACUGAGUUUGAUAUUCACUAUGUUACUCAAAAGUCCAUUAGAGAGAGUGUUGUUGUAGAUCACCUGGCCUCAUUACCAGUUUCAGAUAGUGGAGUUAUUGAUGAUGAUUUCCCUAAUAAGGGGAUUGCAACUGAGACUAGUAUGCCAAGUUGGCGCAUGUACUUUGAUGGUGUAGCCAACCAUCUUGGAUAUGGGAUAAGAAUAUUGUUGAUAUCUCCUUAUGGUGAUCGUAUUUCGAGAUUUGUUCGUUUGGCAUUCCCAAAUCGAUAUCCUACCAUGAAAAAAUAGUCGAGUACGAGGCUUGCAUCUUAGGAUUAGAGACAACUUUAAAGUUGGGUCUCAGAUGGAUGGAGAUAUAUAAAGACUCCAACUUGAACUGAGACAGAUUUUGGGGACCUAAAAGAUUAGGGAUGUGAAGCUCAAUCCUUAUCAUGCUUACUUAGAGCUACUGGUCGGGAGAUUCGAGGAUUUGAGAUAUACCCAUCUAUCGUAGAACUAGUUUGUUAAUGGCUUAACUACUCUAGCUUCCAUGAUUGACAUUCUUACUGAUGUUGUUAUUUGCCCAUUAGUGAUAGAGUUGAGGAUUGUGCCAGUAUAUUGUUGUUUGAUUGAUGAUGUAGAGAUUCAGGAUGACUUACCUUGGUAUCAUGACAUUUAUUAGUUUCUCAUAUUCAACACAUAACUUGAGGUUGCCACAACCAAGGAUAGGAGAGCUUUGAGGCACUUGGCCACCAGAUUUGUGAUAUGUGGCGAGACAUUAUACGGACGAUCAACUGAUGACUUGUUACCGAUAUUCUUAGACCAUACCUUUGUUGAUAGAGUGAUGAGAAAGGUUCAUGCUGGAGUUUGUGGACCACACAUGAGAUGACACAUGUUGGCUCGUAAGAUCAUGAGGAUCAGAUACUUUUGGUUGACCAUGAAGACAGAUUUGUACUAGUUUGUUUAGAGAUGUCUGGGGUGUUAGAUAUACAAUGAUCUUAUUCACAAUCCACCUUCAGAGUUACAUGCACUAACCUCACCAUGACCAUUUUCAAUUUGGGGCAUUGAUAUCAUUGGAAAGAUUUCACCAAAAUCUUCCAAUGGACAUGAUUUUAUCUUGGUCACUAUUAAUUACUUCACCAAGUGGGUGAAGAAACUUCUUAUGUGAGAUUAACAUUAGCCAAAGUUGCUAGCUUCAUCAUGUCACACAUCAUUUGUCGUUAUGAAGUCCUAUAUGAGUUGAUAUUUGAUAGAGGAGUACACUUCAGGGCAGAGGUUGAUGUCUUGUUAUAAAGAUAUAGUAUUCAGCAUCAUAGGUCAUCUGCACAUAGACUAUAGACUAACGGGGCAGUAGAGGCCACGAAUAAAAAUAUUAAGAGGAUUUUACUGAGUAUGGUUGACAAUUUCUUGAGACUAGUCAGAGAAGCUCCAUUUUGCACUAUGGGCUUAUCGCACUUUUUUUUACACUUCUACAGGAGCCACACUCUAUUCUUCAAUGUAUGGUAUGGAAGUAAUGUGAUUCGUGCCCAAUUGGUGUUUCAGCUGAUUCGUGUCCAGCUGGUGCUCCUUGAUUGAGGGAGUAAUCAACAAAAUUUAUAACCUAUUACACCAUAUACUAGGGUAGCAAAGACAAAGCUACUAUAGCAUAGUGGCUCUAGGAUCGUUCACUGGGAUGAGUUUUUACUUUGCAAAUGAUAUUAAUUCAAAGCUAAAUUGGUGCCUUUUCAUUUCAAGGUUAGCUUUAAAAGAAAACAUAAAGAUGUUUGAAUAAAAAAGGUUUGGUUUUAAACUAACCAAAAAUAGUAACUGAUUUUACUUACAAAGAAAAGUGUUUCUUGGAGUUUCAGAUCACUAGGCUCAGAUUCCUCAUACAAAAAGGGAGUUCCGGCCACUUGUUUCUUUUCCUCGCAUUAGAGAAUUAACAUAUAGUUAAUUCUCUAACCAGUGCUGUACAGAUGCUUCCCAUUAAUGGGUUCAAACACUAAAUCCCUCUCACUGAUGCACCUUGCAAUGGCUCAUGCCUCUCACCUAGCAUUUGCCAGUCAAGGUGAUCUUUAACCUUGGAUUACUCGUCAAAAGCUCGCAAGAGAUAACUAAUGGAUGUCUCCUUAGAGUCCAAAAGCUUACCAAGUGUUGGCAAUUCUAGAAAAUCCUACCUUCAAGUCACCUCCCAGAGGCUCACAAGGGGUAAACUAGUGCAUCUCCAUGGACGGAGAUCACUUGCCUUACCAAGUGUUGGCCCAGGUGAUUUAAAGGCGUUUUAAGUUAACUAAAAAGAUAAAAACCAUUAACGGUCACACUUUCUCUUCAUUAAAAACUAAAACAACAAAACUUCCAAUUUAUGCAUGUGGAAACUUACCCGGCUUUCCUUAGCUCCAAGAGACAAAAAUCCUAGCCUCUCAUCCUCUGAGGAAAAACCUUAGAGUUUGAUUGGCUAGAAAGAAAAAGAAAAUGAAAAUGAAAGAGAAGGAAAAACCAGAGCAAGGCUCUGUAUAUUCUAUAUAUUAUAUAUCUAUAUCCCGUUGGAUUACAUGAUUCUAUAUUACAUACUUCUAUAUCUAUUACAGUGGAUGCAAGGAAAUAUAUAUAGAGACGUUUUUCCAACCUUCCUAACUAAGAAAUCUUAUGGUUGGUGGAUUAUAAGAAGAAGAAUGGAAAUUUAUACAAAAAUAUCUGAAGAAAAAUAUCCAAAAGUGUCGGUCACAACUAUCGGGAAGCUUCAGGAGAACACCCGUGCACUGUGCAAAAUGGCUGCGAAAUUCUCGCAGCAAAAGGCAUUGGAUUCUUGAUUUCGCAGCCGUGCAAAAAUCUUCCUUCAGCUUGGAGUGAUAUGCUUGCAAUGGCUGUAACUCAUUCGUUUCAGCUCCAAAUCGUGCACUAUUUGAAGCAUUGGAUUCUUGACUUCCUGAGCUUUGAAAUGGUAUAUAGCAUGUAGAAAAUGGACUUCGUAAAGUGCUCAAAAAGUGCGCAAGAAGACUGCAGCUGCUGUUCUCUGUUUUCUUCACUUUGUUUUUCUUCUCUCCGUUGUUCUUUCCUUGCAUACUUUGAACGAAUUUGGAAAAGGGCUAUGGAGCUCCAAAGCUUGGUUCUUCAUGAAUUUGAACUUCCAAAAGCUUUGCCAUGAACUAUAUACAACUCUCCCUCAAUCUCGGAUUGCUUUGGUGAUCAAAAAGCUAUCAAAACACCAAAACUUAACACAAAUUGAUUAGAAUUGAUUGCAAGGGUCCUUAACAUAUUAAUUGGGUUAAAAAGCAAUAACUACUACUCAAAAAUGUUUAAAAGAGUUAAUUACAAGCUAUGAAAUAACACUUUUUGAGUAGUAAUCAUAAUGCUACCAGUUGAGAUAGAAAUAAGAUCUUUGAGAGUAACACUUGAACAUCAGAUAUCUGAGGCAGGUUGGGCCUAAGCACAUUUCGAUUAGCUUGGUCUUCUUGAUAAGAGAAUGUUGAGAGUAGCAUAUCACACUUAAGCUCAUCAGAGGAAGAUGACCCAUGCUUUCAGAAAGCAGGUCAAGCUUAGAUCGCUACAAAGAAGAGAUUUGGUUUUGAGGGUUCUUAGAGGCUUGGUUGUAGACCCUAGAAUAAACGGACUUGGAGUGGGCCAUAUGUCAUUAAAGAGUUGACUCUAGAGAGUGCAAGAUGGUUGAUGGAUCUAAAUGGAAACCAAUUCUCAGAGCCGACCAAUAUAGAUCAAUUAAAGAAGUAUUAUGUUUGAGACUAUGGUCACAGGAUGGGUGACCUUCAUUUCGAUUAGCUUAGACCUUAUCACCUUUUGGACAUCUAGAUCGUUGCUAGCCCUUUGAGCCUCACAUGAUCAUUGUAGCCUAUUCUUUUUUAUAGUCUUGUUUACUUUCUAUAUUUGGGACCCUCUAAUGUACAUAUGCUUUAUUCAGGAAUUUCAUGAGUCUUGGACCUAUUGAUAUACUCCUAUCAUUUAUCUUGUCGUUAUCAUGAUACCCUGUUUCAUUCUCACCUCCAUUGUUUGUGUUCUUUGUUAUGUUUUUUUUUAUACUAUCAGAUUCAUCUUAUUUCUUCUCAUAGAUUGAGUGAUGAUCUUUCACAUUUCAUAUUGUGUAGAUCGAUCAUAUCACCACUUACAUUCCAUCUUGUAGACAUUGAUACAAAGGUCUUUGGUUGAGAGGGUCAUUUCAUCAAGGAGAGCUCAUUGUUUUUGGAUCACUCUUUGAGAGCAUAUUCAUACCAUGGUAAAAAGAAAAAAACAAAAAACAGUAUAUGUGCAUGAGAUGUAUUACUUCAUUGAACAUGUAUGAGAUAUUUGAGAGUUUAUUAUGUGGAGUUCAUUGGUUGAUGAGAAUGCAUGAGAGUUUUUUAUCCUUAGGUUCAUCUUGUAUAUGUUCUGAGUAUGAGAGAUGGGUAACUCUUUCCUAAAGACUCUGAAUCAUUGUCUCCUUCCAUCACUUUAGUCACCAAUGAUUUGAUCACUUUUCAUGUCUUGUCUUGAGUAGAUAAGAGCAUGUUUUAUUCAUUUUGAUCUUAUCUGUUCUUUAUAUUCUUCAUCAUUCACCAUACAUUCAUCAUUCUUCAUUCAUAUCUAUCUUCAUUCCAUGAUUGAUAUUCUCUUCAUAUCAUCUCUCUUUGUAACUUGAUGCUCACUUCUAUUCCUUUUCCCUAUCAUCAUUGAUUUUGUUAAGACCUUUUAUGUCCCAUGGAUGCUCACAUUAAAUACCUUUAGGUUCAUAGCUUAUGAGAUUAUUUAUGCAUAUUGUGUUUUGUACAUGAGGGUAUGGGUCUUAUCAUUGGCUAUUUGAACUUAGUUUUUUCUUUACCCUAUUAUCUUAGCCUAUAUUACGUCACGUGCCUUAAGACUACCUUGAGGCCAUGGGAUCGGAUAUCAGCUUUGAUAUUCUCUACUCGGGCAAGUGUUUAAAAUUUGGUUAAUGUGUAAGCAUCAUCAUGUUCUUCCUUCUGGGGAAUGUUUCUCUGAUGUCUGGAGUUGAUUCAUAAUGGAUGUAGAGGAUUGCUUGAUUUUAUGGCAGAUGAGAGAUGUUGUUUGACUUCCUAUUUUGCUAUAUAUCAGAUGUCAUACCGAGGCAUAUCCUCUUUCCAUCAAGAUUGCUAGUCUCACUUUGGUUUUCAUUUUGUUUCAUGAUAAUGGAUAUUGAUUUUGACUAUUUGAUUUCUUCAUGAUCUUUAGUGGAAUUGCAUCUCAAGUCAUUAGGUUAGACUUACAUUUUCUGAUAUCCUUGCUAUAUUUGAUGGAGUAACCCUAGUGAGGUAUGCUUUCAUCCAUGCUUUUAGUGGAUCAGUUAAGUUUCAUUAUCAUAUCCCUCGGUGAAAUUCUAUCUCAAGUAAUUAGGAUGAGCCUAUACUUUUUUAUAUCCUCACUAUUUUUUGAUGGAGUUACCCUAUUGAGAUAUGAUUUCAUCCAUACAUAUAGUUGAUUGGAUUGGUAUAACCACUUCUGAUCAUCAGUGGAGUUUAUUUGACCUAAGAUGUUUGGUUGAUGCACACAUCUUUUGAGUCAUCUGAUCACUUCAUCAUUGGAGACAAAUAUGAUGAGUUGGUAUCAUUUGGUUAUCUCCAUGAUUUUGCAUUAGUUGCCAUACUAGGACAUAUUCCUCUUUCUUUUGUUGAGAUGAGAUCACAGGGGAGCAUUACCUUUGAGCUUGAAUAUUUUCAUGGAUUAGAGAUUCUCAAUGGAGUAUUUUGUGAUGACAUUAGUUUUGAUGGAGUAUUUUUUUGAGAUUAUGGUAGUCAUCAUGAUUCCUUAGCAGAGUGUUUCUAAGGUGGAUUGGUUCGAUUGUUUUACAUUCCAGUUCCUUAGUGAAGCAUUUUUGAGAUAGAUCAGUUGAUUAUUUGAGUUGGAGAUGGUCCUUAGUGGAGUUAUCUCCCUAAGUGACCGAUUGGCCAUAUUGAUUUCUUAAUGGAGUAUUGAUGAGCUAGUGGCAUUUUGGUCCCUUAGAGUAUUUUCGAAUAACCUAUCCUCAGAAAAUUCUGGAUGUUAUGGUAUUUCCAUACUAGCAAUACAUAGACCUUGCAUACUAAGGCAUAAUUUCUCACUCGUUAAGGUUAUUGGGAUCAUUAUUUGUUCAGCUUUUAGAGUAGAGGCAUUCAGUGUCAUCUUUUAGAGUACUGAUCAUGUGAUUGAUCAGGGGUUUGUGUAUCACAUUCUCCUUCAUGACCGAUUUAUCAGCUUUCAGAGCAAAAACAUUCAGUGUCAUCUUUUAGAGUACUGAUCAUGUGAUUGAUUAGGGGUUUGUGCAUCACAUUCUUUUUCACGACCGAUUUAUCAGUUUUCAAAGCAAAGACAUUCAGUGUCAUCUUUCAGAGUAUAAAUCAUGUGAUUGAUUAGGGGUUUGUGCAUUACAUUCUCUUUCAUGACCGAUUUAUUAAUUUUCAGAGCAGAGACAUUCAGUGUCAUCUUUCAGAGUACUGAUCAUGUGAUUGAUUAGGGGUUUGUGUAUCACAUUCUCCUUCACGACCAAUUUAUCAACUUUAGGGCAGACGCAUUCAGUGUCAUCUUUCAUAGUAUAGAUCAUGUGAUUGAUCAGGAGUUUGUGUAUCACAUUCUCUUUCAUGGCUGAUUUAUCAAUUUUCAGAGUAGAGGCAUUUAGUGUCAUCUUUCAGAGUAAAGAUCAUGUGAUAGAUCAAGGGUUUGUGUAUCACAUUCUCUUUCAAGGCCGAUUUAUCAGCUUUCAAAGCAAAGACAUUUAAUGUCAUCUUUUAGAGUAUAGAUCAUGUGAUUGGUUAGGGGUUUCUGUAUCAUAUUCUCCUUUAUGGCUUCUUUAUCAGCUUUUAGAGUAGAGAUAGUUAGUGUCAUCUUUCAAGGAUACUUUCCAGAUUAGCUUUUAGAGUCACUCUUAUUAGUUUAGCAUUCUAAGUUGCUUGGCUACCAGAGUCAUCUUUUGAUAAAGAGUUAUGUUUGUAGUUUCGACACUCAAAGUCUUUGUAUUGUCGUUCUAGUGUUCAAAGUCAUUUAUCUUCUUAGUAUUGAGCAUUCUCAAAUUACUUCUAUGAUUUUAUUGCCUAUGAUCUUUCUUUCUUGAUUGUGUCUUUCAGAGUCAUUUGGCCUCAUUUGUUCAGUGUUUUGGAUUCAGUGUUAUCUCUACCUUCUUACUCUUUGAUUUUGCUUGUCAGUUUAUUAAGUCAUGUGUCAGGGCAAAAUUUUAGGAUUUUUUCUAUUCUUCGAUAUAGUUCACUUGGUUUCAUUCAUUUUUCACAUGCUCAUGAUUAAUUCAUUAUACUCGUGACUUUUAUUGAAGAGGGGCAUAUUUGUAGAUCCCUUAUUUUACCCACGACACAUAUAGGCUACUAUCUAAGUAAAUCAUUGUAAUUCAUCAACUUGUAGUCUCCGAUUCUUCUUUGGAAGCUUCUUAGAGGAUAAAUUACGGAACUUUGAUGUGAUCACCUAAACCUCUGAAUUUGUAACUUAAAGUUUUCUGAUUAUUCGAACUUAUCAUUGACCAUAAACUAAAACAAAAAUAUUAAAUAAUUGUUUUAAAAUAAAAUAAAAUAAGUUGUCUUCUUAAACAAUAAACAUGCCAAAAUACUCAUUUAUUUAUUUAUUUUCUUUAAUAAUCCAUAACCAAAUAAAUAAUAAUAAUAAUAAAAAUUUAAUAAAUAUAAACGAAAAUAAAAUAUAGCAAUGUUAAAAUUCAAGUUUAUUACUACUAUCUAAUUCAUGUUUUAAAAUAUAAACUAAAAAUAAAUCUUGUUUUUUUAGUAAUGAACAAAUAUCAUGAACCUUAAAUAAAAAUAGACAUUUGAGUCCAUAAUAACUAGCAAAAUUUACACUUAAGAUAAAUUAUUUUUUUAAUAAACACAAAAUUUAUAUAUUUUCAUAUAUUAUUCUAUAGUUACCAUUCAAGGUUUUUUUUUCUAACUCAUGCACCACUCAUCUUUAUCUUUAUAUAUAUAUAUAUAUAUAUAUAUAGCACCCCAUCAAUGUUAUCAUAUCUCUUUACCACAAACCAAUUUUGGCUACCUAAGACCACCUCAACACACAUCCAUCAACCUGUCCUAUCCUCCAUGUCGUAGCCAUUCUUUUAGUUGCCCAAGACACACCUCAAAUCAACCCCACCAAGCUGCCCAUCUCCUGCAAUAGUUUUUUUGUCUGCCCAAAAAACCCAUCUCUAUCAUCCUCACUUUGUCCUUUAUUCCUACCAUAGCCAUACUUUUUCUUAAGCUACCAAAACUACAUCAACUCACUUUCUAGCUGGCCUACCCCACUAUAUGUGAACCAUUAGCUCAUCUCUACCAGUUGUAGCAGUCGUAAUCAAUAGCUCCUCCAUGUUUAGCUUGUAGAUUAAUUCUAAAAUAUCCUAUCUAAAUUUUCAAAAGCCCACACCCAUGCCUCUAGUCUUUGCAUUAGUCAUCAUAACUUCACCGAAUCCUUUACUUUCUCCAAACUAAGCACUUCCAUCAUAGUUGCCACUUUCCUUUCUCAAAUCCGAGCACCAUACAACACUAUGUACCCCUACGACAAUUUCAUCUUCUUCCUACCACCAAACCGUUGCCCCACCUUACCAUAGGCUCCACGAUGACUUCAUUUUCUUUCUUCCUUUAAGCUAAACAUCACAGUGCACCACACGACCCACUACAACUUUGUAUUCUCCUUUUCUUCAAGCCAAAGACCACAACAAUUUCGAUGUGUAGUAAGAUGGCUCAAAUAUGGCUACCAUGGAGAAGAGUGUCGGGCUUUUCGACAAAGAAGAUGUUCAGAUGACACCACUAGUGAUUACUCCACAUGCCUCGUCACCCUUGAAGUCCAGAUAAUUUGUUGUUGUUUAUUUGUUUUCUUGUUGUGUUUGGACCCGGGACAUGUAUUUUUUAUGAAGGCCAUGUAUGGUCAUGCUUAUUUUGUAUUUAUUUUGCUUAUUUCAUUUUUUGUUGCUUCGGUUUCAUUUUUAUUAUAUGUAUUUAAGUUAUAUGAAUAUCAAACAUUUUAAAUUGGGUAGACAUAAAAGGGGCAAGAAAAUUAGUUUUUGACUAAGGCUUGUUUGGCCGAAAAAAAGGGGAAUGAUUUUGGAAGUUUAGGAGGUUUGCAUUUGGGUGAGAGGGUGAGUUCAUGUGAGAGGAAUGGGUCGAGAGUCUUGGAAGAGAGGGUAUAAAAUCAUAUGCUCAUUUUUUGUUAAAGGGGUUAGCAUUUUUUGGAGAGCCUUUUUGAGAUCUCUGUGGAGUUGAGAAAAAGUGAGAGAAAAAAUAGAGAGAAAAGAAAAAAGAAAGAGGUAAUUGGAAGGCUAUGAGUUUUUUUUUUUUUUUUUCAUUUCUUGGUUGAUAGAAAGUUGGGGAAGAGAAGUAAAGAUGGAGAGUUCCAGUGGAAGUGGCACUACCAUUGAACUUUAGAUCAUCCGAUUUCGCGAACUGCAUUUUUUUCUCAAAAACGCUUGGAAUGCAAAUAAGGUAUGUCUUUCUUUAUUAAAUUGAUGAAUUGUAUUGAUGUGCUUAUUUAGUUUAUAGUAUCUAUAAAUUAACUAAUUAAUCCUCGCAAUUAUUUCAUUUUACUUAGUAGAGACCUAACUUUUAGGGCUUAGAGGGGUGCUACAGUUCUUCACUAUACCUUCCCGAUAAGUAACCUAAUCCCUGGACUUAGACUCAGGUUUUCAAAGACAGACUUUUCUAAAGAAAAAUGAGUCAUUUUUUAAGGGUUUUUCCUUCUUAUUUUGUUUGCCCUUUUAAAAAAUAAAACAAAAAUAAGUAGUGACUCCGUUAUUUAUAAAAUUGGUUUGUCACAAACAAAAAGCGAGUCUUGCUAUCGAGUGAGAACGCAUGUGAAAAUGCGGGAUCACAUUUCCCAACACAACCAAAGGGAAACUCUAUCUUAAUCUUAUGAGAUAUCAUGGUACCUCUAUUGAGAAUACCUAUUAUUACCAACUUACUUCAAUAGUGACCCAAACUAUAGGGAAUAUAUGAUCAUCUUACAAUUUCAUUCGUAGGUUAAUUAAAACCAUUGCUAACUUUAGCAUAAAAUUAAUAUUCUCUCAAGGUUGAGAGACAACAUAAUGAAGCAGCUUGGUGAAUUCAUGGCUACUUGAUAACCAUGUAUGGUUACACAUUAGAUAGAACCUAUGGUGAGUCAUGAUGUAAGCUGUCGGUUUGUUAUAACUUCACUAAGCUACUAUGUUAUAUUAUCUCUUAACUUUGAGAGACUCUUGAGUCUAUGCCGAAGUUAGUAAUGACUAUGAGCUAUAUAUGAGAUACUAAAAUGAUGAUAUAUUCCUUAUUGAUUUGGUCACUAUUGAUAGAAGUUGGUAGUAAUGGGUUAUUAGAGCCAAAAUAUGUGCUCCAAUCACACAAAUAUGACAUGAUUUAUGUAACAUAAAAAGCUCUAACUAUCCAAGUUGACUCAAAUUGAUGCUAAGACUUUAACUAUGGAUAUAAAUUCUAUUUUAAGCCUAAUUCCAGGUUUAUGGGAUGAAAAGAAUGCUAAGUGAAAAGUCAUUUUCAACCAAGGAAAUAGAAGAGGUUAAAUAUGCAUAAAUGAGAGACUUGGGACUAGUGAACUAUGAAGAGUCCAAGAAGUGGCAUUAUAAGAAAACCAUAGGCAUGAAAUACUAGCAAGGGGUGUUGUGUAUUGAGAUAGAGGGCAAGCAACCAUAAUAGAGGAGGGAAGCACAUGCAAUCAAGUUCACAUGGAAAUUUAGAACUCAAAAUUUGGCUACAACAUAUACUUUGAUUUUAAGGUAAAAUUUAGAGCACUUACUAAUGUCAUUUUUGGGCAUGCUAUAUAUCAUUUCUAAGCUCAAGAAGUCAAGAGUUCAAUGCUUUAAAAGGUGUGCAAAUCAGAAUUGCCAUGAUAAAGUCAUGCACGUUAGAAAUAAACUAGUAGUGGGUGAGUUCAAAAUUCACCGUGAAUUUUGAACUCACCAUGGUGAUUUCGAAUUUGGCACUUUUCCUCCACUUAUGAGUUCAAAAUUGAUUUGGAACUCAUCCCAACUUUAAACUUAGCUAUUGAUGAUUUUGGGUUUUGAGCUCCAAAACAUGUCAAAACGAGUUUCAAAUGCCUUCAUCUAAUUCGGAAUGCAUGACACUUAUUUAAAACUCGUAAUAUUUUCAAUCUUUUAAGUUGUUUAUGACUUUUCUUUGUAAUAAGUGGCCAAUGGAAGUAUGCACAUGUUAGGUUAUUGAAUUUAUUAUAUAAACUCCUUUAGCUCUAGGUUUAAGGGAGAGAAAAAAGGAUAAAAUGUAGAGAGAGAUUGAUCUAUUCUCUUAAAAUUAUUUAAUAAAGUUUUAGGUUUUCUUUUCUUUUCUUUCAUUUUUCAAUCUUUAUUUUUUAUUUUUUUGGUAAUUAAAUAUAGGUUGUGAGAAGAAACCCACCACCAUGUUUAACUAGGUUGAUUGAUUUAGAGAUGCUAACAUGAAGGUGAAGAAUCCAAAGGAGUGACAAGAAAUGAUAAUGUAUUAAAUGGUUUGAUUACGUUUUCCAGUUUUCACUAAUAGGAAUAUAUCUUCUAUGUCAAAUCACCUUAGAUAAAUUAUAUAGGAUUCUUAUCAAGAUACUAGUAAUUCUUGGGAAGACUUUGAUUACUAGUUACUAUAGUUUGAUCCUACUGUUAACGAAUCUAAGGGUUGAAUCUAUAAAGAUGGAUAUGGAAUUUUGAUUGAAUAAAAUUGAAAAUCAAAAUAAACCAUCAUAUCUAAUUGAUUUAGGAAUUAUGAUAAUGAGAUUAAUAAUUGGUUGGGUUACAAAUUAUGAAUAUUUUGUCUUAUCCUUGUAAGUUAUACUAGGGAAUGAUAUGGUAGGUUAUUACUAGAUACUAAUGAUUCUUGAUAACUCUUGAUCAUUAGUUAUCUUGGUCUUCCAAAUCAUUAUUUACCUCAAAACAAAGCUACAAGUAGUAAGAAGGGUUAAAAAGCUAAACCUUAAAUCAAUAAUUAAUCUCAUUCACUUGAUGUUUUAGGAAUCUAUUUUAAGAAGGAAAUAUUAAGUUCUCAAUGCAAUAUUGGUCUUAAGUUUUAAUUUGGUUGCAGAUUGACUUUGAUCCUAAAUCCUAGAUUUGAUAAUUUUCUCUCUUUCUAAGGAUUUGACAUUGGAUUGUGAAAUUCUCUAAAAUAUUCUUUCUUUUAUUGAUUCAUUUCAUUAAAUAUUUUAGGGAAUUUUUAUUCAUAUUUAUCCAUAUUUAUUUAAAUUAAGAUUUCUUUAUCUUUAGCAAAUAAUUACCCUUUUUCAUCUAAAAACAAAUAAACAAAUUAGAGUUGAUCCCAGAAAACGAUAACCCACAACACUGCAAAGUCAUGGUAACUCUAUCUCUAGUUUUUCUUAGCUAGAGUUAUCAUAUAUUUAAGCUUAAUUAUUUUAAUUACAAUAGAGAUUUGCAGUGAAUGAGUAUUCUCAAUAGAGACACUAUGAUAUUUCACGGACUUGAAGACAAUAUAUGCCCUUGGGUGAUCCUAAGGAUAUGUGUUUAGAUAAACUAUGGUUAUAGUAGUGCCUUAAGCUCUUUGUGAGAUAGGACAUGUCAAUUGAUUACGUAAUAAGAGGAUUUGUAACUUAAGGAUGGUAGAAGUAAUCUUAAGAGGAUGAUAGUUUUUACCUUGUUAGAUUAUAGACAUCAAUUCAUUGGGAGACUAUAUAUAGUGUAUAGUAGGUCACGAACCCGAACACUUAUUGUCUUGUUGUAAUAUGCAUAAGGUAUUAUAGUAUAGUUAACUCAGUAUAAUGGGAUAUUGAGUCAACUUCAAAAUUGAAUUAUGAGGGAGUCGAUACCAUCCUAGCAGUUCCAAUGGUCCUCAUUCAAACUCAUAUAUCUUGAUGACACUUUUUAUGAGGGUUGAAUUGGCUUUUGGUUCAUUCAUAAAGAUGUUUUGGUAAUUACGUUAGGUUGCCUGAGAAUUAGCGGACAACAUCUCUAGAAUAAGUUAAUUGAUUAAUUGGAGUUUUGAUGGAUUAAUUAAUCAAUUAAGACUCUUUUUUGGGCUAGAUUAAGUGACCCAAGCUCAAGGUAGGUUCAAGUCACUUAAGCUUAGUAGAAACCCUAUAAAUACCCCUUAUAAAAUUAAGGUUUCAAGUCUUCUUCUACCAUUCUCCCUAUGUUCCAAAGAGAGAACCUUAACUUCCAUGCUCAUGACUUCCACCAUUUGUGUUCUUAGUUUCAAGAAAUAGUCAUUAGGUGGAAGAUUGGAGGUUUAUGAGAUCACCUUUGACUACCACAACAUCAAAUAAUGAUUUCAUCAUAACGAUUCAAUCUACAAACAUCCAAAUCUAAGGUAAAUAUUCUAAACAUGUAAUCUAGAUCUUGUGAAUAGUUUUAAAUGUUAUAUUUUUACUAUGCAUAGGAUCUAGUUGCCCUAGUAGUAGUUUCAUGCUCCUAACCUGAUCCUUGGACAGGGAACAAAGUAAUCAAGAUUUCCCAUCAGUUGGAUGACCUUGUUGAAAAGAAAAAUUGUUUUCAUGCCUUGAAAGGUAUGUCUUUCUAGGAAGCGUAUGACCACUGGUAUGGUGUAGUGAUUAUGUAUGGUGAAAAAAAAUUAAAAAUAAAUAAAAUAAAAUAAAAGAAUGCAGUGGGCUGCGAGGCUACAUAGUAGUGAUUGUGCUGUUGGAAGAGAUGAUAAUAAUUUGGUGAUGGUAUAGAUUAUUGGGAGAAGUGAGAGUAGUGAAGUAAAAUAAAAUUGUUAUAUAAAACAAUAAACAAAAACACAAUUAUGCUGGGCUAAUAGCAAUAAAUUAAUCAAAUGGAAACUAAAGGAACAUGACAACGGAAUCUGAAGCAAAGACAUGAAGAACAAUAAGAAACUAAAAACAUGAACCACCUUCCACACACGACACACUCAACUGCAAAACCCUAAUUGGUAGAAAUUAAAAUUGAACCUAAAAUGGGAACCAUGACCACAACAAAUUCAAGGGAAAGGAUGAGAACUAGCACCACCACCAGGACCACCACCGGUGCCCACUCCACCGCCUAGGGUUCCGAUACCACCGGUGCCACCCAAGCUGCCGAUCCCUCCUGGCCCAUCAAGUCCACCUGCGCUACCGAUUCCUCCGGCAACUCCGCUGACUCCACCUAGCCCACCAAAUGGCAGUCCAGAAUCACCUACUCCUGCAAAGCCACCGAGCCCGCCAAAGGUGACGAUGUUCUUUUGGUCAUCGAGACCAGCAUCACUAGGCACAGUCCUUGCAGUGGUGUGAGCCACUGCUAGGGCAAGCACUGCCAUGAUAAACCACUUUGCCAUCUCUCUCUUUUCUCACUCACUCACUCACUCACACUCUAAUGCUUCUUUUUGAGUGUGUACUCUGUUGCACCUGAAGGGUGUUGCGGGUCUCCUUUUAAAGGCCUAAAGGGAGGUGGGGGACAGUUGCAAGUAGUAAAUGAAGUUAAAUGCUGAUCAGUCCACAGCUAUACUCAGUCGAUGGAAUUGAACAGGAUUUGUUGCGACUAUGCUCCGAGCCUCAGGGCCUCAAAUUGAUCAACAUCUAACAGAUAAAAAUGAAAAUCACUUGCGUAUCAUCAUGGCUUCCAUACAGAUAUUAUGCAAUAUGUAUGGCUGUGCUGGGAUUCAGAAAAAUGCCCCUGCCAAUAUUUGCAUGACAGAAAACCUAAAGUACAUGAAUAUUAGGGGUUUCUUUUGACGUAUGUAAAAUUUGAAUGACAGGCCACAAAAAAUGUCUCUUUCUCUGGUAAUUCUUUCGCGUUUUAUUUUUCAUAUCCUGAAUUUUUCAGAUGAUCUCUAAGAGAAUGUAUGGAAAAAAUGAAUAGCAAAUUAGAUAAAUUGAUACCUAAUACUAUAUUAAUACCUCUCUGGGGUGCAUUUCGUCUUUUUGGGCUUACCAUAUGAGAUAGAAAGGGAUGCAAAAUAACAUUAUAAGAUGGAGAAUUUAAGCCUUUGUUUGUAUUAUUUGAUUCUUUUUAGUUAAAAAAAAAAAGAGUUAUGCAUGAUGUUAUUUAUUUUGACUGGAAUGGAGACUAAGUAUUAUAUAUAUAUAUAUAUAUAUAUAUAUAUAUAUAUAUAUAUUUCCAUAAAAUUUUACUUCAGGGUGUAGGUAAGAAGAUUAUCAAUCCACCAAACUGCUGAUAAUCUUUCAAUGUUAUGUUGGAAUCCAUCCAGUGUCUGGCUUUGUCAUUAUAGAUGUGUCAUUGUGAGAUGGAGAAUUAAUCAAGCCUUGGUUUGUAUUAUUUGAUUCUUUUUAGUUGAAGUCUUCACCAAAAAGAAUUGACAAACUUUUGAGAACGUUAUAUAUAAUCAUAAUGCAAUAAAUAAAUAAAUAAAUAAAAUUAUAGCUACACCCGUUUAAUCAAAUUAAGAUUUUUCUUGUUAAUUUGGAGUCAUGAAAAUUAUUAGAAUUUUUAGAUAAGAUGGCUAAGUACUUUAUCCAAAUAAAAAUUAGUUAGGUCUCGUUUUUCUAGUCUGAUGAACAUGAUGAGAAUUUGGUGAGAACUGAAAGAUAAAAGGGUUGCUGAAGCUCCACUUAUUGGGCAAAUACUAAGAGAGAAGGAGAGUGAGGUGAUCAGUGGGGUAGGGAGAAUCAAUAACAGCUCCUCCAGCUGCCCUUGACAGGACUAGGGCUGAGGAUGCUGACCUUGGUGGAGGAGAAAGUAAAUGCAUUUGUGGGGACGGUUUGUGGACUCCUAUUAGGUCCCAAACAGAUUUUUAUUUUAUAAAACAUCAAAUAGUAGUUUUAAAAAACUGUUCAAAAAAAUUGUUUUCAAUACUGUUUUUGAAAACAGUUAUCUAACAAGGCUUAAGUAUAUUUUUUUGUUUUUUAUUUUUAAAGUUAGAAAAAUAGUGGGAAUUUUCAUGUUAGAGACAAGUACUUUUGGAAAUUAAUAUUAAAAAAUUAACAAUUUUAAAUUUGUUUAAAGAUUGUAAGAUAUUAAUAAAAUUUUACUAUUGAAAAAUUUUAAAAUACAUAUUAAGAAUAGAUAUCAACAAAUCCAACAAAAUUGAAAAACUAUACGGCAUAUAGUACUUCCACAAAUCAAGACUUUUAAAAAUGUGGAAAAAGAAAUUAAAAAAAAAAAAAAACCACCACAGAUACCUCUCCUUAUACUGGUUUCCCUUGAGACUCCUAAAUAUAAAUAAUAAUAAUAAAAAACCAUACCAGAAAAUACAAAUCACAAAAAAAAAAAUCAGCAUUAACUUUAAGAUUUGACUUUCAUGUGGAUUGGAUAAGUUGUUUUCCAAAAAUGUUAUUCAACAUUUUGAAAGUUCCAACAACCGUGAAGUGAUUGGUAGGGAAACACACUAUGUUGGUUAUGAAAAGUAUUAAGGAAAAUAUAUAUAUAUGUUGUCGUAUAAAAAUGAGUAAGAAAUUUAUAUAUUUAUAAAUUAUUUAAUUUUUAUGUGUAAGAGUUAAAUAAAUGAAGAAAUGAGUUUGAUGUAUGAUAUAAAAAUAAUUUAUUGACUUUAAAUUUACUUUUUAUUUUUCUUCACCCCUUUUUUCGUUCUACUUUUCUUCUUUAUUUUCUUUUCUUCAGAUUUUAUGGAACCAAAUGUAUACUAUAUGACCUUUUAAUGUAAAAAAUGAGUUUUUCACGAGAAAGGUAUUUCCCAUCAAAAAUUUUUAUUUUUAAUGAUGAAAAGUUUGUUUAUGAUGAAAAAAAAAUAAUACAUGUGAUACAUAAUUUUUUUUUAUUUAUAAUUUUUAGUUAUGAAAUUAAUAUUUAUAGCAAAAAAAACAUAUUUAAAAACAAUAUUUAUUAAUUUUUUUAUUUAAAAUCUUUUUCAAUAAAUUAAUUUUUAGUUUAUACCAAUAAAUCCCAUUUAUACACAAAAUCAAUUUGUAAUAAAUGGUUCUCUAUUUAUAAAAUAUUUGAUAAUUUUUUUUAAAGAGAUGAAAUGAUCAAAUUGACAAUAAAAAUAUUGUUUUACAGGUGAAAUUGGUUAAACAUGAGGAUAAUGAUGGCGAAAACAGUUGAAGAAUUAAUAGAACAAUAUUUAACUGUACGUGGGGGAUAAUAAACUAAGAUAAUGCUCGGGCAACUUGUCUAUACUUGGCCAUUUGUUGGGAUUAGAUGCUUACAUCUAGUGAGAUGUAGGCGUUUGUAUUUAUAAAUGUACAUAUAAGAUGGAACAGCAUAUGUUCAUCUAAUUGUAUUUUAGAGUGGAGAGACUAGUACCAAGCAUAUUGUUCUCUAUUUUGCUUUCAUUGGUGCGUAGUUAAGCUUGUCAAUGAGUUAUAUAUGGUAAAAAAAAAACAUAUUUUACCAUGUGAGUAAAAAAUAGUCUUUAAAAAUUCAUAAUACUGUUUGACUAUUGUUCUCUAUUUAUGAUUUUGAAAAACAAGUGAAAAUAAAGAACAAUUUUUAGAGAAUAAAUAAAAGUUAUUUUCAUUAGUUUUUAAAAAUAAAAGAAAAAUAUCAGGAAAUUUUAAAAAAUCAUAAAAAACUAAAUAAAAUUGAACAUCAUAUCCUUCUUUUUCUUUCUCACAUAUCUAAUACUAAUAUUGAAAAUAUUUAAAUAUUAUUUUCUUAUAAAUUACACUUGUUUUUCUAAAUUUCUUUUAACUUCUCUAAAAUUUUUCAUUCAACAAAUAAAUUCUAAAUCAAAUUACACUUUAUAUAUAACAUUUAUUAAUUGUUUUAAAUAAUUUAAAACUCAAAAAUUGAUAUAAUUAGUACUAAAAGGUUGUAGAACUUAAUAAUAUUAGAAAGUCAUAUACCAAAAUUUAUUUUAGGACAUAGUUUCUUCUCUACAUAUAUCAUAUUUUUACUAAUUUUUUCAUUCAACAAAUAAAUUUCAAAUUAAGUAAGACCUAUUGAGUUGGAUUCAUGAAUGAGUUUAAUAAUUUUUAAAAAUAACUUAAAACUCAAAUAAUGAUCCAACAAAUAUUAGAAAUUGAUGGAUAAAAAAUUGGUCUAAAAUGACUCUAUUAUUAUUAUUAUUAUUAUUAUUUUACAUAGAAUUAUUAUUUUCUGAUUUUGUUUUAUUAGGCAAAUAAAUUUCAAAUUAAAUAAGACUUAAUGCAUUAGAUUCAUCAAUGAGUCUAGUAAUUUUUAAAAAUAACUUAAAACUCAAAUAGUGAUCCAAUCAAUACUAGAAAUUGAUGUAUAAAAAUUGGUGUAGAACGACUCUUAUUUCACUUUUACAUAUAAUUAUUAUUGUUCAAUUUUUUUUUGCUAGGCAAAUAAACUUUAAAUUAAACAAAACAUAAUGCAUUGGAUUAAUCAACAAGUCUAGUAAUUUUUUAAAAUAAAUUAAAAUUCAAAUAGUAAACCUAUUAAUAUAAAAAGUUUAUGGAUAAAAAUUCGUUACAAUGACUAUUAUUUCUUUUCUACAGAUAAUUAUAUUUUUAUAAAUUCUCUUACUAGAAAAUGAACUUCAAAUUAAGUGACGCUUUAUAUUAAAUUUAUUAUUGGGUUUAAAAAUUUUUAAAAAUAAUUUGGAACUCAAAAAAUAGAUCUAAUCACUAAAAAAAACUAAUAAAUCAAAAUUGAUAUAUUAUGAGUCUUGAUUUUACUAUUUCUCUAUACACAUAACUAUAUAUAUAUAUAUAUAUAUAUAUAUAUAUAUAUACACUAAUUUUCUCACUAGGAAAAUAAAUUAUAAAUUAAUAAGACACAAUUAAUAAUUUAAAUUCUUUAAUGAAUUUUAAUUUUUUUAAAAUAAUUUGGUUAUUUAAUUUUUAAAAAUAAUUUGGAAUUCAAAAAACCAAUCUAGUUAAUUUCAAAUUAAAUCAAAAUAUCUUAGAAUAUUAUGUUCAUGAUUGAAUACUGUGUAUGUAAUAAAAAACUUGGAUCAUUUACAUGUUAAAAAAUUAAACUUUAUUCAUGAUUCAUCUUAAAUAAAAUAUUAUUAAUAAUUAUUAUUUUAAAAUUAUUGUUGUUCCCUUUUAACAAAAAAAUUAUAAAGAUGUAAAUAUCCUUAUAUUUCUAACAUGUACUAUAAUAUUACUAUUCAUGUUUUACUAAAAACUAUUUAUUUAUUAAUCUAUUUAUAAUUACAAAACUAUUUUCGGUUUUAAUAAGAUUUAGAAUAAAAUUUAAUUCAUAUUAUAUAAAUUGAAUUUACAAUAUUUUUACCAUGUCAAAAUAGAAAAAUUAUUUUAAAAAACGACUAAUCCAAAUAAAGUUUUUGGUUUUUAUUUUUAAGAAUUGUUUUUAAAAGCAACUUGCCAGACAUGCUUAUUUUUAUAAAAUAUUAAAAAACUAUUUUUUGUUCUUCAACUUAAAAACAAGUCUUUGAAAACAUGGCAAAUAAACCCAAAAUUUGCAUAUCCACAACUUACAUGAAGCCUUUUCAUCAAGGAUAUCAAGGCCAUUUUGCUUUAUACUUGUUUUCUCUAUUAGGUUGUGAAGAAAAACUUUGGAAGUGUACUAGGCUUUUCUUUUUUCUUUUUUCUGUUUACUUAUUUAUGGAAGUGGUUUUCUGUAACACCCCGACCUAGAAUAAGGGCUAUUUAUGGAAUUUAAAAAUUAAGCAAAAAAUAGAGAGAAGAUAUUUUUGGUUCCUAUAACUACUUACUGUCUUUAUCUUGUUAUGGUUUUUUUCCUUUCCAAUUCUUCAUCCUUGUUAUUAGGAACGAUAAAAAAAAUAUAUAAAGAGAAUAGAGUUUUUAUGAUUAAUCUUUCAAGGAAAGAAUCUAACCUAUAAAUUUAAUAUCCGGUUCCAUUUUCUUGGUUGUGUAAAAUAAAUAACCUUGAAUCUUUUAGGUAUUCUCUUGAAAAGAUUUGAAUUUAGGAUUAAUUUAUUUUUUUUAAAAAGGAAUAUAGAUAGGUUGAUUUAUUCAUGGAGAUAGGAAAAUUGUAUAGAUCCAAGUCAAUUAAAAAAAUAAAAUAAAAAUCUAUUGCAACAUUAAUUAGAAGAAAAAGUACAAACUUGAUGGCCUAUUGGUUUAUUGUUACAUGUUUGAAAAGAAAAAGAAAAAGAAAAAGAAAAAGAGAUAUUUUAUGGGUUUCAAAUUUUAUGCCGUUAGUGUUAGGAUAAAGACCUUAAAAACAUGACAUGAUGUAAUAAAUUUGGAAUUUAUUAUUUAUUUAAUUAUAUUUUAGUUGCACUUUUAUCUAUCCUUGUUCUAUGCUUUAUAUUUUGAGUGUUUUAACCUAUAUUUCCUACAUUUUACAUGACUUGAGUGCAUUAAGAGUUGCACAGAAGAUCCAAUCCAUGUGUUUUUUGCAAGUAAAUGAUUUGUUCACAACUGAAUUGAUUCCACGUGAUAAAGUUGAAAAAUGAAGUCACAAGAAGUACAAUAAACGAAAGUCUUCCACCCGAUGACUUGUACCUUGAUCUUGACACACUUCCGAUGGGGAUGGAAGAGAGGGUAGAGACUAUGACCCUCUCUCUCUCUUUAGGUGGAAGACAACUCUCUAGAAAAAACUAUGGAAACUCUAAACCCUAAGAAAGGUAUUUAUAGGAUUUCCCAUUAGGCUUAAGUAACUUGAGCCCACUAAGGCUUAGAUCACUUAACGGGUCCUAAUUAAUUAAUUAACCCAAUAGACUCUACAAAUUAAUCAAUUAGCCCAAUCUAGAGACCUCAUUCACUUACCCUUGUACAACCUUGCAUAAUUACCAAAAUGCCCUUAUGCACAAAAGUGAACUUAGAGUCAAUCCAACCUUCAUAACCUAUGCCAACAAAGUAUAUAAGCUCAGAAUGGGGACCAUUAGGACCCAUAGGAGUAGUGGCUCCCUUAAAAUCCAAUUCUGAAGUUGAUUCAACAUCCCACUACAGAGAAUCAAUUGAGUUCCAAUAUCCUAUGUAAAUAACAAUGAGACACUAUGUGCUUGGGUCUGUGAGCUAUUAUCCGUUGCAUUCAAUCUCCCUAUGAAAAUAUAUCCGUAGUCUAACAGGUGAAAGAUAUCAACCUUUCAAGAUUACCUUUACUAUCUUUGAGUUAUAAACCUUCUUAUUGUGUGUUUAACUUACAUAUCUUAGCUUUCCAAGAGCAUGAUGUCAAGUUCCACUUAAGAACUACUAUGACCAUAGUUUACAUGAAUGCACCUCUUUAGGAUCAACCAAGGGGCACUCUGUCUCAAUCUUAUGAGAUAUCAUGUUGCCUCUAUUGAGAAUACCUAUUACUACUAGCUUUCUUCAAUAGUGACCCAAACUAUAGGGAAUAUAUGAUCAUCUCAUGAUUUCACUCGUAAGUUAAUUAAAACCAUUACUAACUUUAGCACAAAUUUAAUAUUCUCUCAAGGUCGAGACACAACACAAUGAAAUAGCUUGGUGAAGUCAUGGCUAGUUGAUAGCCAUACACAUUGGUGCAAUGUGUAACCAUACACACUAGUGCACUCAUAAUGGGAAACCCAUGUCGAUAACCAAUACUAGUCAUCCCUCUAAUAAGGAGGUGGUGCACUACAAGCUUUAAUGGGUUGUCUAAACCCCAUGAACCAAUUAUGAAUGAGUCAUCUAUUUACAAGGAACUUGUGACUUGGAUCUUCUGUGCAAUUCCUAAUGCACCCAAUUUACGUAUAAUGCAAAAGAUGCAGGUUAGAGUGCUUACAAAGUAUAAUGUAUGGAAAUAAGAUAGUUAAAAGUGAACUAGAACUUUAUUAAACAAAUAAUAAAAUUCAAGAGUUUAUUACAUCAUGUCAUGCUUUUAAAGCCUUUAUCCUAACACUUAGGUCAUCCAUUUGAGGUUGUAGUACACUACGUACCGCUGUUGGGAUUGAACUUCUAAACGCAAAACAUGAUGUAACAGUUAGACUUAACUAUCCCCUUGCUAUCCUUUUUGGUGUAUUGACAUUGAUUCGAGCAUUCAACUCAUGUCUCUUACAUUGUAUAUGACUUGUAUGCAUUAGGAGUUGCACGAAAGAUACAAGUCAUUGGUUCCUUGUAAGUAGAUAAGUUGUCCAUAGUUGGUUCAUGGAUUUGGGCAAUUUAAUAGAGAUUAUAAUGCAUCACCUCCUAAUUUGAGGAAUGACUUGUCUUGGUCAUCAGGAUGAGUUUCCCAUGUUGAGUGCACUAGUAUAUGUAAUGCACACUAGACAGAACCUACAAUGAAUUAUGACGCAAGUUUAUCAAUUGUCAUGAUUCACCAAGCUAAUAUACUAUAUGGACUCUCAACCUUGAGAGGAUAUUGAGCUUAUGCCAAAAUCAAUAGGAGACUUUGACCAAUGGGUGAGACCCUAAAGUAAUCAUUUAUCCCUAUGGAUUUGGUCACUAUUGAUGGAGGCUGGUGACAACAUGUAUUCUCAAUUAAGGCACUAUGAUAUCUCAUGGGAUUGAGACAAUGUGUCUUUUGGGUGAUCUAAAAGACAUGUGAUCAUGAAAUCUAUGACCACCGUAAUUCCUUUAGUGGAAUUUGACUUAUGCUCAUUGGAGUUAGGCUAUGUUAGUUGAUCAUAUAAUCAGUAAGAUCUGUAACUCAAGGAUUUGAGAUGUAAUCUUGAUAGGUGAUAACAUUCCCUUGUUAGAUUACAAACACCAAUUCAUAGGGAGUCUACAUGUAAUGAAUAGUAGGUUAUGGACCGAACUUUGUCUCGUUGUUAUUUAAAUAGUGUACUGAAGUGGAGUUGAUUCUCUUUAGUGGAAUUUUGAAUCACAUUUAGAAUUAGAUUAUGAGGGAGCUAGUACUCCUAUGGGUCCUAAUGGUCCUCGCUCUGAGCUCAUAUACCAUGAUGACACAGUUUAUGAGGGUUGGAUUGACUCUAGGUUCAUUCUUGUGCAUAAGGGCAUUUGGUUAAUUUCGUAAGGUUGUAUAAGGGAUAACAAACCAGGUCUCUAGAUUGGGCUAAUUGAUUAAUUAGAUGACCCUAUGUGGUUAAAUAAUCAAUUUGGGCUUGUUUUGGACUAGAUUAAGUGACCCAAGCCUUGAUAGGCUUAAGUCACUUAAGGCCAAUGGACAACCCUAUAAAUGUAAAUAUUUGGCCAUUUAAAACUCAAAAAUCAAUAUAAUUAGUACUAAAAGGUUGUGAAACUUAAUAAUAUUAGAAAGUCAUAGACCAAAAUUUAUUUUAGGACAUGGUUAGUUUCUUCUUUGCAUAUAUCAUAUUUUUACUAAUUUUUUCAUUAGACAAAUAAAUUUCAAAUUAAGUAAGACCUAUUGAGUUGGAUUCAUGAAAGAGUCUUAUAAUAUUUAAAAAUAAGUUAAAACUCAAAUAAUGAUCCAAUCAAUAUUAAAAAUUGAUGGAUAAAAAUUGGUCUAAAAUGACUCUAUUAUUAUUAUUAUUAUUUUUUACAUUAAAUUAUUAUUUUCUGAUUUUGUUUCAUUAGGCAAAUAAACUUCAAAUUAAACAAGACUUAAUGCAUUAGAUUCAUCAAUGAGUCUAGUAAUUUUUUUAAAAAACUUAAAAUUCAAAUAGUGAUCCAAUCAAUACUAGAAAUUAAUGUACAAAAAUUGGUGUAGAACGACUCUUAUUUAUCUUUUCAUAUAAUUAUUAUUUUUCAAUUUUUUUUGCUAAGCAAAUAAACUUUAAAUUAAACAAAACAUAAUGCAUUGGAUUCAUCAACGAUUCUAGUAAUUUUUAAAAAUAAAUUAAAACUCAAAUAAUAAACCUAUUAAUAUAAAAAAUUUAUGGAUAAAAAUUGUUUACAAUGACUAUUAUUCCUUUUCUACAAAUAAUUAUAUUUUUAUAAAUUCUCUUAAUAGAAAAAUGAACUUCAAAUUAAGUGACCCUUUAUAUUAAAUUUAUUAUUAGGUUUAACAAUUUUUGAAAAUAAUUUGGAACUCAACAAAUAGAUAUAAUGAUUAAAAAAUGCUAAUAAAACAAAAUUGAUAAAUUAUAAGUCUUGACUUUACUAUUUCUCUAUACACACAACUAUACAUAUAUAUAUAUAUAUACUAAUUUUCUCACUAGGCAAAUAAAUUAUAAAUUAAGUAAGACACAAUUAAUAAUUUAAAUUCUUUAAUGAAUUUUAAAUUUUUUAAAAUAAUUUGGUUAUUUAAUUUUUAAUAAUAAUUUGGAAUUCAAAAAACCAAUCUAGUUAAUUUCAAAUUAAAUCAAAAUAUUUUAGAAUAUUAUGUUCAUAAUUGAAUACUAAAUAUGUGCAUGUAAUAAAAAAAACUUGGCUCAUGUACCUGUUAAAAAAUUAAACUUUAUUUGUUAUUCAUUUUAAAUAAAAUAUUAUUAAUAAUUAUUAUUUUAAAAUUAUUAUUAUUCACUUUUAACAAAAAUUUAUAAAGAUGUUAAUAUCCUUAUGUUUCUAAAAUUUACUAUAAUAUUACUAUUCAUGUUUAACUAAAAACUAUUUAUUUAUUAAUUUAUUUAUAAUUACAAAACUAUUUUCGGUUUUAAUAAGAUUUAGAAUAAAAUUUAAUUAAUAGUAUAUAAAUUGAAUUUACAAUAUUUUUACUAUAUCAAAAUAGAAAAUUAUUUUUAAAAAACAACUUAUCCAAAUAAAGUUUUUGUUUUUUAUUUUUAAGAAUUGUUUUUUAAAAACAACUUGUUAAACACCCUUAUUUUUAUAAAAUAUUAAAAAAAUAUUUUUUGUUCUUCAACUUAAAAACAAGUCUUUGAAAACAUGGCCAAAUGAACCCAAAAUUUGCAUAUCCACAACUUACAUGAGGCCUUUUCAUCAAGGAUAUCAAGGCCAUUUUGCUGUAUACUUGUUUUCUCUAUUAGGUUGCAAAGAAAAAUUUUGGAAGUGUACUAGGCUUUUGUUUUUUGUUCUUUUUUUUUACUUAUUUAUGGCAGUGGUUUUGUGUAACACCCCGACCUAGAAUCAGGGAUAUUUAUGCAAUUUAAAUUUUUUUUAAAAAUAGAGAGAAGUUAGAUGUUUGAUUCCUAUAAGUACUUACUAUCUUUAUCUUGUUAUGAUUUUCUCCUUUCCAAUUCUUCAUCCUUGUUAUUAGGAACGUUAAAAAAAAUAUAUAUAUAUAAAGAGAAUAGAGUUUUUAUGAUUAAUCUUUCAAGGAAAGAAUCUAACCUAUAAAUUUGAUAUUUUGGUUCCAUUUUCAUGGUAGUGUAAAAUAAAUAACCUCGAAUCUUUUAGGUAUUCUCUUGAAAAGAUUUGAAUUUAGGAUUAAUUUAUUUAAGAAAAAAAGAAAUAUAGAUAGGUUGAUUUAUUCAUGAAGAUAGAAAAAUUGUAUAGAUCCAAAUCAAUUAAAAAAAUAAAAUAAAAAUCUAUUGCAACAUUAGAAGAAGAAGUACAAACUUGGAUGGCCUAUUAGUUUAUUGUUACAUGUUUGAAAAAAAGAAAGAAAAAGAAAAAGAAAAAGAGAUAUUUUUAUGGGUUUCAAAUUUUAUGUUGGUGGUGUUAGGAUAAAGACCUUAAAAACAUGACAUGAUGUAAUACAUUUGAAAUUUAUUAUUUAUUUAAUUAUAUUUUAGUUACAUUUUUAUCUAUUCUUGUUUUAUGCAUUAUAUUUUAUGAGUAUUUUAACCUAUAUUUUUUACAUUUUACAUAACUUGAGUGCAUUAGGAGUUGCACGGAAGAUCCAAUUCAUGUGUUUUUUGUAAGUAAAUGAUUUGUUCACAACCGAAUUGAUUCCACGUUAUGAAGUUGAAGAAUGAAGUCACAAGAAGUAUAAUAAACCUGAAAUCUUCUGCCCGAUGACUCGAAGUUUGAUCUUGACAUACUUUCGAUGGGGAUGGAAGAGAGUGUAGAAACUAUUACCCCCCCUCUCUCUCUCUGUAGGUGGAAGACAACUCUCUAGAAAAAACUAUGGAAACCCUAACCCCUAAGGAGGGUAUUUAUAGGGUUUCCCAUUAGGCUUAAGUAACUUGAGCGUACUAAGGCUUAGAUCACUUAAUGGGUCCUAAUUGAUUAAUUAACCUAAUAGACUCUACAAAUUAAUCAAUUGGCCCAAUCUAGAGACCUCGUUCACUUACCCUUGCAUAACCUUACGUAAUUACCAAAAUGCCCUUAUGCACAAAAGUGAACCUAGAGUCAAUCCAACCCUUAUAACCUAUGCCAACAAAGUAUAUAAGCUUAGAACGGGGACAAUUAGGACCCAUAGGAGUAGUGGCUCCCUUAAAAUCCAAUUCUAAAGUUGAUUUAACAUCCCACUUUAGAGAAUCAAUUGAGCUCCAAUAUCCUAUGUAAAUAACAACGAGACACUAUGUGCUCGGGUCUAUGAGUUGUUAUCUAUUGCAUUCAAUCUACCUAUGAAUUGGUAUCCAUAGUUUAACAGGUGAAAGCUAUCAAUCUUUCAAGACUAACUCUACUAUCUUUGAGUUAUAAACCUUCCUAUUGUGUGUUUAAUUGACAUAUAUUAGCUUUCCAAGAGCAUGAUGUCAAGUUCCACUUAAGAACUACUAUGACCAUAGUUUACAUGAACACACCUCUUUAGGAUCAACCAAGGGGCACUUUGUCUCAAUCUUAUGAGAUAUUAUGAUGCCUCUAUUGAGAAUACCUAUUACUACCAGCUUUCUUCAAUAGUGACCCAAACUGUAGGGAAUAUAUGAUAUUCUUACAAUUUCACCCAUAAGUUAAUUAAAACAAUUGCUAACAUUAGCACAAAUUUAAUAUUCUCUCAAGGUUGAGAGAUAACACAAUGAAACAACUUGGUGAAGUCAUGGCUACUUGAUAGCCAUACACACUAGUGCAAUGUGUAACCAUACACACUUGUGCACUCAUAAUGGGAAACCCAUAUCGAUAGCUAAUGCUAGUCAUCCCUCUAAUAAGGAGGUGGUGCACUACAACCUUUAAUGGGUUGCCUAGACCCCAUGAACCAAUUAUGAAUGGGUCAUCUAUUCACAAGGAACUUGUGACUUGGAUCUUCCAUGCAACCCCUAAUGCACCCAAGUCAUGUAUAAUGCAAAAGAUGCAGACCAUGGAAAUAAGAUAGUUAAAAGUGAACUAGAACUUUAUUAAACAAAUAAUAAAAUUCAAGAGUUUAUUACAUCAUGUCAUACUUUUAAAGGCUUUAUCUUAACACUUAGGCCAUCCAUUUGAGGUUGUAGUACACUACCACUACAAGGAAAAAGCUACAUGGUGAUGUUUGUAAUGAGUCACCAUAAACAUAGGAUGUCACUACAACAUAGCGCAUCAGUUGAUCCACUAACACUGUAAAGAGUACCAAUUGGUGAUGUACUUGGAAGUGAUACCAAAGUAGAUAAAUGAUGACACAUUUAGAAGCGACACCAUAUAUUUUUGGUGAUGAUUAUUUUGUGUUGUGUGAGAUAUAUAGGGUGUCACAUUAAAUGCAUCACCUUUGAGUUAUGCUAUCACAUUAAAUGUAUCACUUUUGAGUUAUGGUGUCACAUCAUUGUAAAUGAUUGUGGAAGAUAUGGUUGCUUUUGGUUGAUUAACUAUUUGUGGAUUUUUGUAAUGCUUAUAAUUAACAAGUAAGAUUAACCCAUGUAUAUUUUAUCCAUAAAUAUAAUAAUCAUAUUAAUACAUCGCAUCAUCUAAUAAUAUUUGUAUAUCAAAUGUUCACAAAAGAGUAGUACAUCAAACAUGUCAAACCCACCAAAAUUAAAAAGGAAAAGUGAAUACAUACUAAAACAUGAUUUAGAAAUGUUAAACAUCCCAAAAUAAAUGUAUANNNNNNNNNNNNNNNNNNNNNNNNNNNNNNNNNNNNNNNNNNNNNNNNNNNNNNNNNNNNNNNNNNNNNNNNNNNNNNNNNNNNNNNNNNNNNNNNNNNNUCCCAAAAUAAAUGUUAUACCCCAUUUCAUAAGCAUAAAACGGCUAACUAUAAAAUGACACAAAUUUUUUAUUUAAAAACUAAAAUUUUCACUAUCAAUUAAAGUAAUAUUUAUGUCCUACAAUGUAUGAUAUAAGAAUCACAUUUAAAAACCCAAAAUCUUGUUGUCUUCUUUCUUUUUAUUCUCCAUUCCAUCCUCCCAAGAGUGUAUACCUGCAUUUUAUAGUUUAAUGAAUUUUAGAGUUUUUAUUGAAAAUAAAUAUGAAUUGAUGUUAUCAUAAAUGAAUAAACCUAAGAACUAUUUUUUUUCUUUCUUGUUUUCAAAUAGAAACAUUAUUAAAAGAAUAAGUAAUACUAUACAAUGCAUAUGAAAAAAGUUCAUAUAGUAGCUAAGGGACUCACCAUGCAUGAUCAUGCUGCAUCAACAUGAUUCACGAUUAAUUGUAACACAAAAAUAGCCCAUUCUCAUAUAAUUUCAUCAAAUUCUACUUGAGAAUAUGUUUUUUUUAUCACAAAAUUGAAAUCAAAUAAGAAAAUAACAUUAAUAUAAACAACAAUUGGAAGCCUAAACUAUGUACAAUUCACUAAAUGAGUAAUGCCUUUGACACAAUAAUUAUAGGAUCAACAAUUAUCUUUUUAAUGAAUCUCAUAACAAAGUAGCCACAUUUGAUACCUCCUUCUUGUCUUGGAUACUGUUGAGUUGAAUUGAUUUUUUCUUUGUAAUAUGUUGAAGCUAUCCUUGUAAAACAUGGGCUAAGGCUAAAUGGGUUGAGUCUUAUUGUUAAAUGGGUUUUAGGGUUAGGGUUGGUAUAUGAUAACUAGAACUCUUGUAAACUCUAUAAAUAGGUGGCUUGGGAAAACGUAAAAAGUGACUAGAAAAGGUGCAUGAGCCGUCUUUCAAUAGUGAAAUAGAAUUGCUCGCUCUCUGCCUGUGGACGUAGAUCACUUUGAUCGAACCACGUAAAUAUUGUGUUUGUUCUUGUGUUAUUGUUUUCUUCCAUUAUUCCGCGAUUCUAUUGCUUGCUUACUUGACAAGUGGUAUCAGAGCCCACAAACACCUGGGUUCAGAUCUGCAGAAGGAAGAUGUCUUCACAGAAAUUCGAAGUUGAGAAGUUCAAUGGGUCGAAUGAUUUCACCUUGUGGAAGCUGAAGAUGAAGGCGCUUCUGGUUCAGCAGAAGUGUGCACAAGCAAUAGAAGGGGAAGAAACAUUACCUAUAGGAUUGACAGCAGCAGAGAAGGAGGAAGUUGUGUCUAGGGCACAUAGUGCGAUUCUGUUGAGUCUAGCAGAUGAAGUUUUGAGGGAAGUAGCUGAUGAAACUACUGCAGUUGGCUUGUGGAGGAAGCUUGAAAGCAAGUACCANNNNNNNNNNNNNNNNNNNNNNNNNNNNNNNNNNNNNNNNNNNNNNNNNNNNNNNNNNNNNNNNNNNNNNNNNNNNNNNNNNNNNNNNNNNNNNNNNNNNGUUAAAGUUGAGGAAGAGGAUCAAGCCAUGAUUUUGUUAUGUUCUUUGCCUAGCUCUUAUGAAAAUUUUGUAGAUACUAUGAUGUAUGGUAGGGAUAGUAUCUCGAUAAAUGAUGUUAAGGAUGCUCUACAGUCUAAAGAAUUGCAGAAAUUAGUUUCUGGUUCUGGGGAAGGCAGUGUGGAGACUGGGUUAACUGUGAGUAGGGGCAGGAGCAUGGAACGAAAUGGUGGAGGACGUAGUAAGUCGCGUUCUAAAUCGAAGGCUGAAAUGAGAUGCUUUCACUGUAAAGAGAAAGGGCACUUUAGAAAGAACUGUCCACAAAGGCAAAAGGGAAUUGGUCAGGGGUCGAAUGGAAAUGCGCAGGUUGUAGUAGCUCAGAAAGAUUCUGAAAAACAGGAUAGUUCUGACGAGGGAGAAGGAGGAGAUGUUUUAACUGUUAGUACAUCUAGCUCUGCAGAAUCAUGGAUCUUGGAUACUGGUGCUUCGUAUCACAUGGCUUAUUCACGAGAUCUGUUCACUACUUUUAAAGAGUGGAACGGAAGUGUAAAGUUGGGAGAUGAUGGGGAGCUAGGUGUCAAAGGCAGUGGUUCUGUGCAGAUUAAAAUGUAUGACGGAUUGGUUAGGACAUUGAAUGCUUGGUAUGUUCCUGGACUGCGAAAGAAUUUGAUCUCUGUGGGUACACUGGAUAAAAAUGGGUACACAUUCUCUGGGAGUGGUGGAGUUCUUAGGGUGUCAAAAGGAGCUCUUGUGGUGAUGAAAGGCAGAUUACAACAUGGGAUUUACACAUUGAUGGGAAGUUCAGUGUUGGGAACGGCGGCUGUGUCAAGCUCCAUGGCUAUUGAUUCUGUAGAGAAGAAAGAUAAUUGUACUGAGUUGUGGCAUCGAAGAUUGGGACACAUGAGUGAGAAAGGGCUCUCUAUCUUGAGUAAGCAAGGGCUAUUAAGUGGUGCUGAGACCGGGAAGCUGAAAUUCUGUGAAACUUGUGUUAUGGGUAAACAGCGUAGGGUGAAGUUCAGUAUGGGUAGUCACACUACUAAUGGAGUUCUUGAGUAUAUUCACUCUGAUUUAUGGGGUCCUUCUCCGGUGGAGUCUCAUAGUGGAUGCAGGUACUAUGUUACUUUUAUUGAUGACUUCUCUAGAAAGGUGUGGGUGUACUUUCUGAAAGCAAAGGAUGAAGUGUUUGGGAAGUUCAAGGAGUGGAAGACUAUGGUGGAGAAACGGACUGGAAAAGUAGUCAAGACACUCAGAACAGAUAAUGGGUUGGAAUUCUGUAACAAGGAUUUCGACGAGUUCUGCAGAAAAGAAGGUAUAGUGAGGCACCGCACUGUACGACAUACGCCACAGCAAAAUGGAGUUGCAGAACGGAUGAACCAAACACUUGUACAACGUGCUAGAUGCAUGAGGAUAGACGCUGGGUUGUCAAAAAAGUUCUGGGCUGAAGCAGUUAACACUGCUGCUUAUCUGGUAAAUAGAUCGCCAUUGACUGCAAUUGAUUUUAAGACUCCUCAAGAGGUAUGGUCCGGUAAACCCUCUAAUUAUUCUGGCUUGAAAAUAUUUGGUUGUCCUGCAUAUGCUCAUGUUAGUGAUGGCAAGCUGGAGCCUAGGGCAAUGAAAUGCAUAUUUCUAGGGUAUGCGACUGGGGUGAAAGGUUAUCGUCUGUGGUGUACUGAAGAUAGAACCCCAAAAUUUAUUAUUAGCAGAGAUGUGACCUUUGAUGAAUUUGCUAUGUUUGGCCAGAGGAAGGAGUUUGGUGAUCUUGCAGGUACUAGUAAAACUGAUCUGGGUGCUAACCAGAAGGUGGAGUUUGAGGUCGAUGCUCCAAUGGAAAAUGGUGUAGAUGACACAUCUGAAGAACAGCCCGUGAUCGACCAGAAUGAUUCACAGAGUAUAGCAGCACAUAGACCAAGAAGGGAAAUCCGGAGACCUAUGAGGUAUGUGGAUUGUGUUAGUGCUAACAUCACUAAUCCUGUUGCUUUUGCUUUAGCAAUGGCUGAAGAGAUAGGAAGAGAGGAACCAAGGUCGUAUAAGGAGGCGAUGGAAAGUAAAGACUCGAAAAAGUAGCUAAGUUCCAUGAAUGACGAGAUGGCAUCAUUGAGAAAGAAUCAAACUUGGGAGCUUGUGCCUUUGCCUGAAGGAGUGAAACCUGUUGAUUGUAAAUGGCUUUUCAAAAUAAAGGAUGGGAUUUCAGAGGAUGAACCACCUAAGUACAAAUCAAGGCUUGUGGCGAAGGGUUUUUCACAAAAGGAGGGGAUUGACUACAAUGAAGUGUUCUCACCUGUUGUGAAGCAUAAAUCUAUUCGGGUCCUCUUAGCGAUGGUAAGCGUUUUUAACUUGGAGCUUGAUCAACUUGAUGUUAAAACUGCUUUUCUACAUGGAAAUCUAGAAAAGGAAAUUUAUAUGAAACAACUUGAGGGAUUUGUUGAUUCUGAAAAGUCUGAUCAUGUGUGUUUUUUGAAGAAGUCCUUGUAUGGGUUGAAGCAAUCUCCUAGGCAAUGGUACAAGAGGUUUGAUGCAUUUAUGGUUUCUCAUGAGUUUAUGCGAAAUUAGUAUGAUAGCUGUGUUUACUUUAAAACAUUGCCUGAUGGUUCAUUUAUUUAUUUGUUGCUAUAUGUGGAUGACAUGUUGAUUGCAGCUAAGAAUCGAGCUGAAAUUAACAAACUGAAACAAUUGUUGAGUAGUGAGUUUGAGAUGAAAGAUUUGGGUGCAGCUAAGAAAAUCUUGGGGAUGGAGAUUUGGAGAGACAGAGAUGCAGGCUUGUUGUAUGUCUCACAGCAAAAAUACAUUGACAAGUUAAUGCAGGCUUUCCAUAUGGAUCACUCUAAACCGGUGAGUACUCCAUUAGCUCAACAUUUUAAAUUUGAUCAUAGUACAUUGCCUAGCACUGAUGAGGAGGUGGAGUACAUGAAGAGUGUGCCUUACUCUAGUAUGGUUGGUAGUUUAAUGUAUGCUAUGGUGUGCACUAGACCAGAUCUUGCUUUUGCUGUUAGUGUUGUAAGCAGAUUCAUGAGUAACCCUGGUAAAGAUCAUUGGGAAGCCGUCAAGUGGAUUAUGCGUUAUUUGAAGGGUUCAAGUAGUGUAUGCUUGGUGUAUGGGAAUGGUGAUGUAUCUAGUGGAUUGGUUGGGUUUACUGAUUCUGAUCAUGGAGGAGAUCUCAUGAAGAGAAGAUCAUUGACCUGUUAUAUUUUCACUCUGUUUGGGUGUGCUAUUAGCUGGAGAGCUUCUUUGCAGCCAACAGUUGCUUUGUCUACAACUGAAGCGGAAUACAUGUCCUUGACAGAAGGGGUGAAAGAAGGUAUGUGGUUAAAUGGUUUUCUUGGCAGCUUGGGUUUGAAUUUGUCUAAGCCGGUUAUCUAUUGUGAUAGUCAAAGUGCUUUGUGUUUAGCAAAGAAUCCUGUUUAUCAUGAGAGGACAAAACAUAUUGAUGUUAGGUUGAACUUUAUUCGUGAUGUGAUCGAAGAAAAGUUAUUCUCCAUUGAGAAGGUUGCCACGGAAGUUAAUCCUGCAGAUAUGUUGACUAAGCCAAUUACUACUGAAAAGUUCAAGCAUAGCUUGGACUUGGUGAAUGUUUGCAAAGUUUGAGCUUGAGGCCCUUCGGGGCGUAGCAGAUGAGUAGUUCUAUAUUCUGAAUUGAAAGAAGAAAGAAAACUUAAUUCAAGGUGGAGAAUUGUUGAGUUGAAUUGAUUUUUUCUUUGUAAUAUGUUGAAGCUAUCCUUGUAAAACAUGGGCUAAGGCUAAAUGGGCCGAGUCUUAUUGUUAAAUGGGUUUUAGGGUUAGGGUUGGUAUAUGAUAACUAGAACUCUUGUAAACUCUAUAAAUAGGUGGCUUGGGAAAACGUAAAAAGUGACUGAAAGGUGCAUGAGCCGUCUUUCAAUAGUGAAAUAGAAUUGCUCACUCUAUGCCUGUGGACGUAGAUCACUUUGAUCGAACCACGUAAAUCUUGUGUUUGUUCUUGUGUUAUUGUUUUCUUCCAUUAUUCCGCGAUUCUAUUGCUUGCUUACUUGACAGAUACUAAUUGAUCAAUUAUAAAAUAACAUUAGUACUCUUAUAUAUAAACGGUGCAAAUUCAUAAUUUGAAUAUGUAAAGCAAAAUUUUGGAUCUCACUUGCAAUAAUUGCCAAGAUGGCUCCCUUUUAAAUGUUUUCUUCGCAAAUAUUCGAAGAGCCCUUUAUUAAAUAAGUUCAAUGGUUAGUUUUUUAAAAUAGGUAAAUGUUACAUGUUUUAAUAUAUAGAAAUAAAAAUAAAAUGUGUUUGAUGUGAAUGUCAUUUUAAAAAAAAAAUGCAUGAUUCAUGAAAAACAUGGUGCUAUGAAGCCUUUUAGCUGAGUUGGUGGUUAAUAUAUGGGGUGAUGUCAUAUGGCUGGAUGACUUAUUGUGAUGGUCGCAUCACAUCUAAAUUUUUGUGACCAUAUUUUAUAUGAAAAGGACAUUAAAAAAAUAUUAUUUUAUUAUUUUAAGAAUAAUUAAUAAAUCACUUUAUUCUCAAAUUAUCUAAACAAAAACUUAAUAAAAAAUAUUUCAUCCCAAUUUUAUUUUCAAAACUUUCUUAUCGACAAUUAUCUCAUAUGUAAAUUAUUUUAUUAUACAAAGAAAUUCUUAUUCUAUUUGUGAGAACAAUAUAGAAAAAGUCAUCUUCAUUAUAGCGUAAAGCAAAACAACAAUCUUCUACAUUGAAAAUUAGAGUUCAAAACAGAGCAAGAGUCUUCCAUGUUUAAUACACCUUUAGUGAUAGAAAUUGGAAGUCUAAAAUUCAAAACUCAUUAGAUAAUAAUACGAAGAAUUUUUCUACUUUUAAUGCUCAUUUAUUUAUAGUUUUCUUACUUAAUACUUACAAUUAUUAUUUAAAAGUUUUAUAUAUGAUUAAUGUUAAAACCUGUAGCAAGUACAAGUUUAAGGGAUAGUGGAUAAGUGCUAUGGUAAAGGUUUUGUCAAUUGAGCCAAAAAGUCAAAAUUGUAUAUGAAAACAAAAAUUAAGCUUUAAAAAAUAAAUUAAUUAACACAAAUGAUUUUAUGUAAACUUGUUUAUUAGACAUAUCAAAGAAGUCUAUUUUUAUAUUAUUUUUUAAAUCCUCUUAUUUUCAUAUGAGAAAUUUUCAUUUAUACUUAAAUUACUUUUAAAAAAUUAAUCAUUGCAAAAACAUUUUAUUUUUAAAAUUAUUUUCAACAUUCUUAUUAAAAAAAAAUUUAUCAUUUGAUUAUUUUCAAAAAAGAUAAAGCCCUAAAAAACCAUUUAUAGCCCAAUUUAAACUCAAAAAUUAUUCCCAGUAUUAUUAUUUUUUUACUCUUAAAUGCUUUUCAAGCAAAAUAACAAUUAUUGAUACAUUGGUUCAUUUUUAAAUACUUUCACAAGAAUAUAUUUUAACUAUAAGUUAUUUUAAUUUAUUAAAAUAUUUUCAGGAAAUGAACUAUUAUCCAUUUAUUACUAUCCUAUUUUUUAGAAAAUAUUUUCAAUCAUUUCAUACACGUUUUCAACUACUAAAAUGAUUUUUUUUAUAGAAUAAACAAAGAAGCAUACACUUCUCCUCCACUCACUAAGUCAACUAUUACAAUCGCGCACCCUAAUAUUUUAUUCACUUACCAAUAUUUCAUUCCAUUUAGGUGACUCUCAACAAAAUCAUAUCUAUAAUACCCUUUACUCUCUUAUGAUACCGAGUAUUUUAUUCCAUUUAGGUGACUCUCAACACAAAGAAAGUGGGGAACGUCUUCUUAUGUUAAUUGAACAAAGACCUUUUUGUUUUUGUUUUUGUUUUUUACUUUCUAAUAUGUAUAUAAAAAAAAUUAUUUAUUACAAGGAAUGUGAUAGAAAGAUCAUUUUAUUUUUAAAGAUUUUUUUUUAGAAUUUCUUAAGCAUUUACAAAUAAUAGAACCUAACAAUUUUAUUUCUAAAAAAAUGACCAAUUAGAAAAAAAAAAUAUUAUUUUAAGAAAAGUUAAUAAAUCACUUUAUUCUUGAAUUAUCUAAAUAAAACUUACCAAAAAAUACUUUAUCCCAAAUUUAUUUUCAAAACUUUCUUAUUAAUAACUGUCACAUACAUAAACUAUUUUACUAUACAAACAAAUUCUUAUUUUAUUUUCUUUAGAGAAAAACUCACUUGUUUAUUAGACAUCAAAGAAUGUAUUUUUAUGUCUAUAUAUAUUUAAAUUCUCUUAUUUUCAUACAAGAAAUUUCUAUUUAUGCCUAAAAUACUUUUAGAAAAAUCAUUGCCAAAAACAUUUUAUUUUUAAAAUUAUUUCCAACAUUCUUAUUUAAAAAAAAAAAAGAAGUUAUCAUUGGAUGAUUUUCAAAAAAAGAUAGUCCUAAAAAAAUUAAUCAUUUAUAGCUCAAUUUUAACUCAAAAAUUAUCCCCAAUAUUAUUUUUAAAUUCCUAAAUUAUUUCAAACAAAAUAACAAUUAUUGAUAUUUUGGUUCGUUUUUAAAUACUUUCACAAAAAUAUAUUUUAACCAUAGAUUAUUUUUAUUUAUCAAAAUAUUUUUAGGAAAGGAGCUAUUACCCAUUUAUUACUAUCCUAUUUUUCAAAAAUAUUUUCAGGCAUUUCAUUCAUGUUUUAAAAUUUCAAACACUAAAAUUAUUGUUUUUAUAGAAUAACAAAGCAUGCAAAUUUCAACUACUAAAAUUAUCGUUUUUAUAGAAUAAACAAAGCAACAUACACUUCUCUUCCACUUACUAAUUCAACUAUUACAGUCAUCUCAAUAUUUUAUUCACCUACCAAUAUUUCAUUCCAUUUAGGUGACUAAAAAAAAAUCAUAUCUACAAUACCCUUUACCACUAUAUGAUAUCCAAUAUUCUAUUCCAUUUAGGUGACUCUCAACACAAACAAAGUGGGAAGGUUUUCUUUGGUUAACUAAAGAAAACCCUAAACAACUUAAGUGCUUUUGGAUUAAUUGGGCGUCAUCUUGUAGCACUAGCCAAUAUGCUAUUGUUAGACUUCAUCCAAAAACUCCUAGCAUGGUGGAAAAAAGUACCAAAUGUAGUCAAGUCUUCAAUAAAAUAUUUUCACAUGUGAAAAAUUACAACCAAUACACUACAGUCAAGUCUUCAAUAAAAUAUUCUCAAAUGUGAAAACUUACAACCAACUAGUGUAUCUCUCAUUCUCAAUUAGACAAAAAUUUUAAAAAUCACUCAUUUUUCUUGUUUUCAUUCGUUUUGGGUCUUAUUAGCAAUGAAACGAAAAAUAUGUUAGAAUGUUAAACCUAGUUUUUACUUUCCUAAAACUCAAUAAAAAAUGUCAUUCACAAAACCUACAUCAUAGAUAUACUAAAUCAAGCAAUAUAAAACAAUUAUACUAAUAAAGAUUUUUGUAGUAAUAAAAAAUAAAUAAAGAUGAUAGAUAAGGGAUUUUGACUUACUCGAGAUUUUACAAAGCAAAGAAUAUCAGUUAUGGGUGUGUCGACCGUGGGUGUGAGAAAAAGGAGAAGAAGACGAUAGUUAGGGUUAAGAUCUUUUAUAUUAGUUAAUGUAUAUAUGGAAACAAUGGACUUUUCAUAAAUUUUUCCUACUCACUAUUUUAAAAAAGGACCCAUUGAGUUAUAAAAUUAAUUUUUUUUUAUAUUUCAUAUGGUGUCACUUCCAAAAAAUGAUACCAUUAAUAUAAAAUUAGCAUCAUCUAACUACCCCAAUUGAAGAUUUUUUAUAUGAUGUGUUGCCUUUAUAAAUUUUAAGCAUUGUGGUGUCAUUAUUUUAAAUGUGACACCAUAAAUUAUUUUAUAGUAGUGUACCUCUAUUGGGAUUGAACUCCUGAAAGAAAAACAUGAUGUAACAAAGUUAGACUUAACCAUCCCCUUGUUAUCUUUUUGGUGUAUUGACAUUGAUUCGAACAUUCAACUCAUGUCUCUUACAUUGUACAUGACUUAUGUGCAUUAGGAGUUACACGAAAGAUACAAGUCAUAGGUUCCUUGUAAGUAGAUAAGUUGUCUAUAGUCGAUUCAUGGAUUUGGGCAAUCUAAUAGAGACUGUAGUGCAUCACCUCCUAAUUGGAGGGAUGACUUGUCUUGGUCAUCGGGAUGAGUUUCCCAUGAUGGGUACACUAGUAUAUGUGAUGCACACUAGAUAGGAUCUACAAUGAAUUAUGACGCAAAGUUAUCAAUUGUCAUGAUUCACCAAGCUACUAUACUACAUGGACUCUCAACCUUGAGAGGAUAUUGAGCUUGCUCCAAAAUCAAUAAGAGGCUUUGACCAAUAGGUGAGACCCUAAAGUAGUCAUUUAUCCUUAUGGAUUGGGCCACUAUUGAUGGAGGCUGGUGACAACAGAUAUUCUCAAUAGAGACACUAUGAUAUCUCAUGGGAUUGAGACAAUGUGUCCUCUUGGGUGAUCCAAAGGACAUGUGAUCAUGAAAUCUAUGAACACUGUAAUUUCUUUAAUGGAAUUUGACUUAUGCUCCUUAGAGUUAGGGUAUGUUAGUUGAUCAUAUAAUAAGUGAGAUCUAUAAAUCAAGGAUUUGAGAGGUAAUCUUGAUAGAUGAUAACACUACCUUGUUAGAUUAUAGACAUCAAUUCAUAGGAAGUCUACAUGCAAUGGAUAGUAGGUUAUGGACCGAACUUCGUCUCGUUGUUAUAUAAAUAGUGUACUAGAGUGGAGUUGAUUCUAUUUAGUGGAAUAUUGAAUCAACUUCAGAAUUAGAUUACGAGGAAGCUAGUACUCCUAUGGGUCCCAAUGGUCCCCACUAUGAGCUCAUAUACCAAAAUGAUACAGUUAAUGAGGUUGGAUUGACUCUAGGUUCAUUCUUGUGUAUAAGGGCAUUUGGUUAAUUUUGUAAGAUUGCAUAGGAAAUAACGAACAAGAUCUCUAGAUUGGUUUAAUUGAUUAAUUAGAUGACCCUAUGUGGUUAAAUAAUCAAUUAAGGCUUGUUUUAGGCUAGAUUAAGUGACCUAAGCCUUGAUAGGCUUAAGUCACUUAAGCCCAAUGGGCAUCCCUAUAAAUACCCUUUUAUCGGUUAGGGUUUUCUAAUGACUUUUGGUGAGAGUUGUUUUCCACCUCCAGAGAGAGCAUAGUCUUCUCAUUUCCAAAACCCAUACUUUAGAGUGCUAAGAUCGUGGUUCAAGUCAUUAGACAAAAAAUCUUGGGUGUACGAGACCUCCUUGGAUGAAGGGCUACAACAUUGGAUGUGCACAAGUCACAUACACGAGAAGCUCACAGGACAUGGGACAUUCACAAGCCCCAUGCACGGGAAUCACACGAGACAUGCACAUGGAUAGCAGCAUGAGGAGAUAGACUCUCUAGUUUUUUCAAACAUGUUUUUCAGCAAAUGAAUUCUAUCUAGGAACAUCCAGAUCACAAGUAUGAGUUUUGUAUCUUUAGAUCUUUAUUCUAAAAUGGUUUUAAAGCUAUUAUUUUUCAUUUAUGUUAGAUCUAGAGAGCCCUGGGGAUAGAUGCAUGCAUCCUACGAGAUCCUGGACACAGGAACAAAGUAAUCCAAGGUUCCUAACAACCUCCUAAUUUGAGGGAUGAUUGACCUUGACCAUCGAGAAGAGGUCCCCAUGGUGAGUGCAUUAGUAUGUAUGGUUACACAUUGGACAAAACCUAUGGUGAGUCAUGAUGUAAAGCUAUCGGUUUGUUAUAACUUCAAUAGGCUACUAUGUUAUAUUAUCUCUCAACUUCGAGAGAAUAUUGAGCCUGUGCUGAAGUUAGUAAUGACUUUGAGCUAUAUAUGAGAUCCUAAAGUGAUCAUAUAUUCCUUAUUGAUUGGGCCACUAUUGAUAAAAGUUGGUAGCAAUGGGUGAUUGGAACCAAAAUAUGCACUCCAAUCACACAAAUAUGACAUGAUUUAUGUAACAUAAAAAGCUCCAAUUAUCUAAGUUAACUCAAAUUGAUGCUAAGACCCUAACUAUGGAUCUAACUUUUAUUUUGAGCCUAAUUCUAGGUUUAAGGGAUGAAAAGAAUGCUAAGUGUAAAAGUCAUUUUCAACCAAGGAAGUAGAAGAGGUUAAAUAUGCAUAAAUGAGAGACUUGGGACUUAUUAACUAUGAAGAGUCUAAGAAAUGACAUAAUGAGCAAACCAUAGGCAUGAAAUACUAGCAAGGGGUGUUAUGGAUUAAGAUAGAGGUCAAGAAACCAUAAUAGAGGAGGGUUGAACCACAUGCAAUCAAGUUCACAUGGAAAUUUAGAACUCAAAAUCUAGCUACAACAUAUUCUUUGAUUUUAAGGUAAAAUUUGGAGCACUUACUAAUGUCAUUUUUGGGCAUACUAUAUAUCAUUUUGAAGCUCGAGAAGUAAGGAGUCCAACGCUUUAAAUAGUGUGCAAAUCAAAAUUGUGAUGAGGAAGUUAUGCACGUUAGAAACAAACUAGUAGUGGGUGAGUUCAAAAUUCACAGUGAAUUUUGAACUUUCAUGUUUUCACUAGUAGGAAUAGAUCCUCUCUGUUAGAUCACCUUAGAUAAAUUAUAUAGGAUUCUUAUCAAAAUACUACUAAUUCUUGGGAAGACCUUGAUUGCUAGUUACUAUAGUUUGAUCCUAUUGUUAACGAAUUUAAGGGUUGAAUCUAUGAAGAUGGAUAUGGGAUUUUGAUUGAAUAAAAUUGAAAAUAAAAACAAACCAUCAUUUCUAAUUGAUUUAAGAUUUACAAUAAUGAGAUUAAUGACUGGUUGGGUUACAAAUUAUGAAUGUUUAGUCUCAUCCUUGUAAGUUAUAUUAGGGAAUGAUAUGGUAGGUUAUUACUAGAUACUAAUGAUUCCUAACAACUCUUGAUCAAGUUAUCUUGGUCUUCCCAAUCAUUACCUGCCUUAAAACAAAGCUACAAGGAGUAGGAAGGGUUAGCCUCAUAGCAAUGCUACAAGGAGUAGGAAGGGUUACAAAGCUAAACCUUAAACCAAUAAUUAAUCUCAUUUACUUGAUGUUUUAGGAAUCUAUUUUAAAAAGGAAAAACUAAGUUUCCAAUGCAAUAUUGGUCUUAAUAUUCAAUUUGGUUGUGGAUUGAUUUUGAUCUUAAAUCCUAAAUUUUAUAAUGUUCUUUCUCUCUCUCUAGGAAUUAACACUAGAUUGUGAAACUCUCUAGAACAUUCUUUCUUUUAUUUGAUUUAUUUCAUAAAAUAGUUUAGGAAAUUUUUAUUCAUGUUUAUCCCUAUUUAUUUAAAUUAAGAUUUCAGUAUUUUUAGCAAAUAAUUACUCCUUUUCAUCUAAAAGAAAAUAAACAAAUUAGAGUUGAUCCUAGAAGACAACAACCCACUACACUACAAAGUCGUGGUAACUCUAUCUCUAAUUUUUCUUAGCUAGAGUUAUCAUAUAUUUAAGCUUAAUUAUUUUAAUUACAAUAGAGAUUUGCAGUGAAUGGGUAUUCUUAAUGGAGAUACUAUGAUAUCUCAUGGACUUUAAGACAAUAUAUGCCCUUGGGUGAUCUUAAAGAUACGUGUUUAGAUAAACUAUGGUCAUAGUAGUUCCUUAAGCUCUUUGUGAGAUAGGACAUGUCAAUUGAUUACAUAAUAGGAGGAUUUGUAACUUAAUUAUAGUAGAGGUAAUCUUAAGUGGAUGAAAGUUUUUACCUUGUUAGAUUAUAGACAUCAAUUCAUUGGGAGAUUAUAUAUAGUGGAUAGUAGGUCACGAACCCGAACACUUAGUGUCUUGUUAUAAUAUGUAUAGGGUAUUAGAGAAUAAUUAUCUUAGUAUAAUGGGAUGUUUUGUCAACUUCAAAAUUGAAUUAUGAGAGAGCCAAUACUAUCCUAGAAGUUCCAAUGGUCCUCGUUCAAACAUAUAUACCUUGAUGACACAGUUUAUGAAGGUUGAAUUGACUUUUGGUUCACUUAUAUGCAAAAGGAUGUUUUGGUAACUACAUAAGGUUGCCCAGGAAUUAGUGGACAACAUCUCUAGAAUAGGUUAAUUGAUUAAUUGAAGUUUUGAUGGGUUAAUUAAUCAAUUAAAACUCUUUUUUGAGAUAGAUUAACUGACUUAAGUCGAAGGUAGGCUCAAGUCACUUAAGCUUAGUAGGAACCCUAUAAAUACCCCUUAUAAGAUUAAGGUUUCAAGUCUUCUUUUAUCAUUCUCCCUAUGUUCCAAAGAGAACCCUAACUUCCAUCCUCAUGACUUCCACCAUUUGUGUGCUUAGUUUCAAGAAAGAGUCAUUUGGAACAUUGGGGGUUUGUGAGAUCACAUUUGACUACCGCGGCAUCAAAUAAUGAUAUUCACCAUAAGGAUUCAAUCUAAACAUGUAAUCUAGGUCUUGUAAAUAGUUUUAAAUGUUAUAUUUUUGCUACACAUAGAUCUAGUAGCCUUAGGAGUAAUUUGAUGCACCUAACCUGAUCCUUGGACAGGAAUAAAGUAAUCUAGAUUUCCCAUCAGUUGGAUUACCUUGUUGAAAAGAAAAAUUGUUUUCAUGCUUUGAAAGGUAUGGUUUUCUAGGAAGCAUAUGACCACUGGUGUGGUGUAGUGAUUAUGUAUGAUGAAAAAAAAUAUAUAAAAAAUGAAUAAAAUAAAAUAAAAGAAUGCAGUGGGCUGCGAGGUUACAUAGUAGUGAUUGUGCUGUUGGAAGAGAUGAUAAUAAUUUGGUGAUGGUAUAGAUUAUUGGGAGAAGUGAGAGUAGGAAAGUAAAAUAAAAUUAUUAUAUAAAACAAUAAACAAAAACACAAUUAUGCUGGGCUAAUAACAUGACAACGGAAUCUGAAGCAAAGACAUGAAGAACAAUAAGAAACUAAAAACAUGAACCACCUUACACACAGACACACUCAACUCCAAAACCCUUACUGGUAGAAGUUAAACUUAAACCUAAAAUGAGAACCAUGAUCACAACAAAUUCAAGGGAAAGGAGGAGAACCAGCGCCACCACCAGGACCACCGAGUCCACCACCGGUGCCCACUCCACUGCCUAUGCCGCCUAGGGUUCCGAGACCACCGGUGCCACCCAAGCCACCCAAGCUGCCGAGCCCUCCUGUCCCACCUAGUCCACCUGCACUACCGAUUCCUCCGCCAACUCCGCUGACUCCACCU
rnacentral:lncRNA from 1 species